GGGAGGUUACCGACGAAGAGCUUGAGGUCAGAAGAGAAGGAUUGCUCCCGCCGCGGGGGAGGAGGAGCGUCGUCGUCAGCGAAGAUGCCGUCUUCUUCGACUGAGAAGUCGUCAGUAACCGCGACGUUACGGACGAAGCGAGAGGAAGCGGCGGAGAUGGAGAGGGAGAGGGAGGCGGAGAGGGAGUGGAGAUUGAAGGAGAGGGAAGGAGGUGAGAGGGAAGCGGAGGCGGGUCUGGAGAUGGAGAAAGGAAGGGACUUGGGGGUGAAGGUGGAGAGAGCGAGAGAGGAAGCUGAAGCAGCCAUGGUGAAGAGAUGAGAAGAGAUAAGGUUUGUUUUUAGCUUUAGGGGUUUUUUGAGAGUGGAGAUAAGAUGGUGUGUUUCUGAUAUUUAUGGGCCAAAUGGGAAUAAAUAUCUUUGCACAAAAUAUCUCAUUCUGAUUUUUAUUUACAAAAUUUGCCUCAAAACUUUAUUUUAUUGCUAAAUAUUCUGCUGCUAAUAAAAUUUGUCAAAUUUUGAUGAAUUUAUCUUAACGUCAUCUCUAAAAAAAGUAUGUAUUUAAAAAAAAUAUAGGUUUUCAUAAAUUUGUACACAAUUUUUUUAGAAAAUCUUAAUUUUCAAAAUAUUUUGUAUUUUCUCACUUUAGUGGUGUUAUCUUUAGUGAGAUGACAGAUGAGAUGAGAUCUAAGCCGUAGAGUUUUGGAUGGACAGUGGAGAUGGCACGUCUCAUGCCAAGGCCCCAAAAAUAUAAAAAAUCUAUAAGAUAGGAUAUUUUAACUAAAAGCCAAUGGAAUUAACAACUCUCGUUCCAGCACAGAUCUUUAACUCCAAUAAAUUCAGAAAACAAUACAGUUCCUUUAAAGAAAACCACUGAAUCAUACAAAGGUUGCUCCAUUCAAAACAAGUUAAUAAGAAACUAUUUAUUUGGAUAACAAUAGAAGACUGAAGUUCUUGAACUGCAAAACGCUUUUAGGAUCUCUUCAAUUGGAGGGUCAUCUCCAGCUUCUUUGUCCUGAAACGUUCCAACAAACAAGUUGUUGAGUACGAGAUUGUGAUUAAUUUACCCCUUUGAUUACAUUGACAUGGUGUAAACACAAGUAUUUGAUCAAAACGUGUUACCUGGUCCAUACUCCCCGGUCCGAUCAAAACAUGAGAAACACCAGAUGCAUCCAUCACAUGCUAAGAAAACCUCAAAUGUAUCACUUAAUGAAAUGAUCAAAACCACAUCAAGAUUUUGACAUUGUUGUUUUUACUCCGGGAAAGCCGAAAGAAAUAAGAAAAAUCCUAACUUUAAGUUUUAGUUAGAAAAAAAAAUCAAAUUAAAAAAAUCUCGUGGAGUGGAGUUAUUACACGUUGCAUAGAUGACGUAAGCAUUGUCCGAAACAGAAAAAGUCAAACGCCACGUAAGCUCAGUAAGGGUAAAAAGUUUUGGAAAGGUAGAUCCUUUUCUAAAAGCGAAUGUUCCUUCUUUGCACGUUCAAGCGAUCUCAAGCCGCUCCUCUCUCUCUCUCUCUAUCAUCUCUGAAAUGGCGAGAGUACUGCGUGUGGCGAGAUCCUCCUCCUCCCUCUUCAGCUUCGGAAGCAGAUCUUAUUCAGCCGAAGCUAGCCACGUGUCCUCUCCCCCUCCUCCGUUUCUUGGAGCUCGCAGAGACGUUACCAAGGAGAGAAACGUGCAGUGGGUGUUCCUCGGUUGUCCCGGUGUCGGGAAGGGGACUUACGCCAGCAGACUCUCGAGUCUCCUCGGUGUUCCUCACAUCGCCACCGGAGAUCUCGUCCGUGAUGCGCUAGCUUCUUCCGGACCUCUCUCCCGACAGGUUCUUGUUUCACUUUAUGUCCAAAUGAAUCCCAAAACGACGUCGUUUUCUGUUUAAAUCUGCUAAAAGUUCAUGUGUCUACCAACAGAUCUAAUGAACUAGUGUUUGUUUUGUCCUAACGGAUCUGAUCCUUUUUCUAAUAAUAGUCAACGGCUCUCUCCUCUUGCUUGUAUUGAGAUUCUUAUUACUUGAUUGCAGCUAUCAGAGAUUGUAAACCAGGGGAAGCUUGUUUCUGAUGAGAUCAUAGUGAACUUAUUAUCAAAGAGACUUGAAGCUGGUGAAGCCAAGGGCGAAUCAGGUUUCAUUCUUGAUGGCUUUCCUCGUACCAUGAGACAAGCUGUAAGUUAAUUCAUUGACUUCACAUCAUAUUGAGCAAAGUUUUGAAUGAUUAAUCUUUGUGUUUUCAGGAAAUAUUAGGAGAUGUCACUGACAUCGAUCUAGUGGUGAACUUAAAGCUACCUGAGGAGGUUUUGGUUGACAAAUGCUUAGGGAGGAGAACGUGUAAUCAAUGCGGUAAAGGUUUCAAUAUAGCUCACAUCAACUUAAAGGGUGAGAAUGGGAAACCAGGAAUCAGCAUGGAUCCACUUCUCCCUCCACCUCAGUGUAUGUCAAAGCUCAUCACUCGUGCUGAUGAUACUGAGGAGGUUGUGAAAGCUAGGCUCCGUAUUUACAAUGAAACCGUAAGUCCUCUUUCUCUCUCUCUAUUGUUCUUCCCAUUUUAGCGAUGCUUGAUGCUUUGAAUGAUGUGUGCAGAGCCAGCCUCUUGAAGAGUACUACCGUAUCAAGGGAAAGCUGAUGGAGUUUGACUUACCUGGAGGCAUCCCUGAGUCUUGGCCAAGGCUGUUAGAAGCUUUAAGGCUUGAUGAUUACGAGGAGAAGCAAUCUGCCGCGGCGUAGUUCAACUACAACUCCGGUUUAUAAUUCUUUGCAUGUGGAAGACAUGUGCCUAUAUCAGUUUUGUGUUGGAAAAUAAAGAAAACCUUAGAUUGUUUUUUUUUAUUGCCUCAGAUCAGAAUAAUCAUCAUCAUACACACUUUGCAAACUAUAUGAUGUAUCAUGAUUGUUUAUGAGUUUGCUAGUUACAGGAAUGUAUAAACACUUUGGUACACUUUUGAUUAUUUAUUGUUGAAUGUGAUCAAUGAUUGUUUAUGAGUUUGCUAGUUACAUUACAUGAAUGUAUCAAUACUUACACUGCUUGUUACACAUCAGGUUUGAUGUUUGGGCUCUUGUGAUUAGUUUGUUUAUUGUUGAAUGUGUGUGAUAAUAUUGCGGCUGGCCGAGCUGGCUGGUUAAAGAACACAACCAGACAGUAAAGUAAAACAGUCGCAUACAUUAAAGAUUUUGUGGAACGUAUAACCAGCUCCUGUCUGUCCUAGAAUUGGCGGUUCGGGAUAGAACUGUUCCUUACAUACUGGAACUUCCAGUAGAAUUUGAUGCUAAUUGUUGGUCCUAAACUAGUGUGUAUCAGUUGCUAUGUGAUCUCAUAACUGGACCUUAUCUUAUGGUUUGUGCUUGAGGUUUCUGAGAAAUCGCUGGGUUCAUUUGAUUCUUCUGGUUUGACAAUUAGUUUCUUGUUAUGGACACGGUGAAAUCAGACUCAAAUCGGUGGAAUAAGACAGCCUCAAAGAAGGCAGACAUAAUCAUGUUUGCUCUUGAUUCAUCUUCAAUCUCAACAGGACAUUAAAAUCAAUUUGUAGCUUUAUUUUGUUAGUAUAUAGAUUUGAUGAAAUAAACAACCUUUAAAUUAUAAAUAUAAAGAUGAAAAUAUUCUUAAACAUGAAACCGUUUUGAUCAAGAUUCAAAAAAAACUUCAUUAAAAGAUAGGGACAUCUUCUGAAACAUAUCCAAAAAGCUCUAAUGAAAAACAGCAAGAUAAGGUCUUUGAGAUGUAAUGCAAACUCAAGGCCUAGGAAGAUCCUCCUUAACGGUUGGCCUUCGCAACUCUCUCAAUCUCAUCCUUCUUCUUGAUGGCAUAGCUGCAAAAAAACAAGACAAGAUGCUAUUAGUAUUUAGCAACAAACAAACACAAUUUGUGAACCCGCUUUAAGAGACAAGACAAUGUAAAGAUGUUUACCUGUUGGAAGAUCCCUUGGCAGCAUUGAUGAGCUCAUCAGCAAGGCACUCAGCGAUUGUCUUGAUGUUUCUAAACGCAGCUUCACGUGCACCAGUGGUGAGCAAGAAGAUGGCUUGGUUCACACGUCUUAGAGGAGAGAUAUCAACAGCCUGCCUCCUAACCACACCAGCAGAUCCAAUCCUCGUCGCAUCCUCACGUGGACCACUAGCUCACCAAUAAAACACACACAACAUUAGAAAAAAAGGUUUCUAGUAACACGCAAUAAAGAAUGCAACAUUGUUGUCUUACCUGUUGACAAUGGCAUCAAUGAUAACCUGAAUAGGGUUCAAGUCAGUCAAGAGAUGGAUGAUCUCCAUGGCGUGCUUGAUGAUCCUCACAGCCAUCAGCUUCUUUCCGUUGUUCCUUCCGUGCAUCAUGAGAGAGUUCGUGAGCCUCUCAACGAUUGGGCACUGAGCCUUCCUGAACCUCUUCACAGAGUAUCUUCCAGCAGUGUGGGGGACAAAGGUCGCGUGCUUAGCAGGCUGAACACCAAUGUAGUCAACAAGACUAAUGUCUGUGACCUACCCAUUCACAAAAAAAAAAAACACAAGAUCAACAAAACAAAUACUAAGAACAUAGCCAUUGUUGCCAAUUUAAAUUUUAGAGAUCUAAUAUUCAAAAACAAACCAAACAACACAGAAAGUGUUGGACUUUAAGACAAAGAAACAUCAGGAUCAACCAAGUGUACUGAGACAAUAAAACAUGAAUUGAAAAUUAACAAAAAUAAAAACAAAAAGAGGACAUUUUUUCCGACAUAACUCCAUGAGUUAUAUCUAAUUCAGACAAUGUAACUAUUUUUUUGUAAUAGACCAAUCAUUUCAUUGUAGAAUUAGAUCCUAUAAAGAUUGCAAAUGAGCUAUCGUAAACUUACCGAAACGUCAUCAAAGCUCCAGCGAUUGAAGAGCUUGACCUCGUUGGUAAGCUGCUGCUGAAUCUCAGCGUCAAUCUCAACGGCGGCGGCCAUGGCUGGAAACACCAAACAAAAGCUUAGCCACAAGCACACACGCAAACCAGAGAAUCGAAGAUGAAGAAGAAAUCAAUACCUCAAACUCGUAAGCGUCGUGNNNNNNNNNNNNNNNNNNNNNNNNNNNNNNNNNNNNNNNNNNNNNNNNNNNNNNGCGUCGUGUGGAGAUGAGACGGGACUAGGUUUAGCUGCAGCUACUGCUUGAAGAAGGUGGUGAGAAGAAACAAAAACCCUAAUUUUACUAGAGUAUAGGGUUUUUAAAAUGGAUUUUAUUGGGCCCAAUGGGCUUUUCGUAAGGCCCAGUCCAAGUCGUUAUACCAUAAGUCUUUAGAGCAUACUAGAAAGAGAGCAUUCAAUGCGGGAUGUCGACUUGCUAGCUCUCGUCCAUGCACCGUCCGUCGCCAUCAAUCCGUGAGUUUUUAUCGGUUUUUGUUCAAUGACUCCAACGAACUUUGAAAGAUUUGCCCACUCUUCCUUGCAAAUUAAUCACGAGAUCAUCGCCUUGUACUUGUUACUCCAUUUUGUCGUAUUAUCAUAUUUACUUGUUACUCCAUAUUGUCGUAUUAUCAUAUUUUUAUAAGAUAUUCACUAACAGUAACAGAUAAGUCAUUCUUAUCCUAAAGUCAUUUUAAUUCAGAGACGACAAAAUUUAGGAAAAAUAAAUUCUAGAUGAUUUAUCGAAAAAUAUUUGUGUGUAAUGUUAUAGUCAGUUAACUUAAUUCGUUUGCAAUUUCUAGGAAUAAAAAUAUGACAGUCUAAUUCGUUAAAUUAGUAUACUUUCCCAAAAAGACAAAUAAUACAAGCUGAUCUUGAAGAAUCAAUAAAUUAAUGUGAAAAUGAUAGACAAUGAACGUGAAGAUUGCUUGAGAUAUGAUAAGAUACUUUCAAUGCUCCCGACAAGAAAAGCAUUAAUUUGGACUCGUUGAUGCAUGGGGUAGAUAAGAGUGGACAGGGGAGCUUGCAGAGAUUGGAAACAAGUAUGGGGGAUCGAGUUUCAAGAGCAUCUCCUCAAGAAAUGAACAUGAGGAUGAGAACAUUUCUCGUCGACACACAAACUGCUAAGAUAAACUAUUGUGGUAAGAUAGAAUAUAUGUACCACAUCAAUGUCCUAGCUAAGAAUAGAUACCACAGCAAUGUUCUAGCAAAGCAAUAUUGUCGAAAGUUUGUUCAUCUAUAAUUUUCUUUUCCUUUUAAUUAAUUAAGAUGGGUGCAAUUUUUGCCUAGCAACACUAGAAUAUAGAAUAUGGACCACUUAUGUAAUUUAAGCAUGCAUAAUGGCACACUAUAAGUACUAGCUUUUAAAUAAAUAAAGUGAUCCUUCAAUUAAUUAGGUAUUUCAUAUUCUCAAAGUAAGUUAGGUAAUAAUACUUUAAUUUCCACACUUUCUUGACCCAAUAAAACUCCCCAAUAUAUUAUUUGUAGUCUACUUUUUUUUAUUAAAUUUGUAGAUAUUGUUAGAGGAAUAUAGUAUGUUUUCUUUUGAAUUAUUAUCUCUUUUUAUUUAUUUUUAUUUCAAAUAAUAAGUUUGUUUAUUUUUAAGAAGAAUAUCCUACCUCUAGUCAAUUCAAAUUGUUUGUUUCCGACCAUAUUCCAAUCAUGGUAAAUUACCCAAAAAGAACACAAAAUAAUGACGUUGAGACACUCUCAAAAGUUAGCACGUAACAAUUGUAGUAGUGAAAAGACGUCUAAGCAUAUUAAAUAUAUUUACACUUUGAAGACAAAUGCAUAUCUCAUUAUUGACUAUUCAUCAGAUAAGAAGCCAAGAGAGUACUCACUGAGACAUGAGUGGUGAUGAUUUGAGAAUGGAGCUUGCAGAGAUUGGAAAAAGCAUGGGGUCGAGUUUCAGGAGCAGCUCCUCAAGAAACGAGGAUGAGGCAGAGCAUGCUCUGCAGUGGGCUGAGAUCCAAAGAUUACCUAGUUUCAAACAACUGAGAUCAUCUCUGGUCGAUGAAGAAGGGGAUGAUGUGGAGAAAGGGAAAAGGGUCGUUGAUGUCACCAAGCUUGGAGCCAUGGAACGUCGUCUGAUGAUUGAGAAGCUGAUCAAACACAUUGAGAAUGACAAUCUCAAGCUGCUCAAGAAAAUUAGAAGAAGAAUAGACAGGUAUAUGUGAAAACAAAGAAACAAACCUUGUGAAUCUUGAACUGAGUUGUUACUUUGCAGGGUUGGUGUGGAGCUUCCAAGCAUAGAGGUGAGGUAUAAGCAUCUAAGUGUUGAAGCAGAAUGUGAGGUCGUUGAAGGGAAGGCGCUUCCAACUUUAUGGAAUUCUUUGAAGCACAUUUUCUUAGUGAGUAUACUUGAGAAUAUAAUGCAUUUUGCCAGUAGGUAGUAAAUUGUUGUGAACAAACGCGAAUUAACUUCAAAGAAAACAAAAAAAACUUGAAAAGAACAAAGCACGAUUGAGGCAAAUAUCAUUUUAAAAUUUGUAUAUUGAUUAUGUGAAUAAUUAAAUCUACAACAACUUAGACAGUUGUUAACAUAACUAGUAUUGAACUAUACUUUUUUCUUCUUUAGGAGUUGGUAAAGCUGAGUGGUGUAAGAACACAUGAAGCCAAGAUAAGCAUACUUAACGAUGUUAGCGGCAACAUUAACCCUGGAAGGUAGCUUUUGAUCCAAGCUUUGAGUUAGUGUGUAAUGCACGCAACUAAUGCUCUCUUCUUGUUGCUCCAAGGUUAACACUGCUGCUUGGUCCUCCUGGAUGUGGAAAAACUACUCUGCUCAAGGCUUUGUCCGGAAACUUGGACAAGAAUCUAAAGGUUUUCAGACUUUGUUUCAAUCUGAUUCUCAUGAUGCAGAUGUGUAAACCACAGAACUCUUUUGUUUUCCACAGAUUUCUGGUGAAAUCUCUUACAAUGGACACGGUCUAAACGAGUUUGUUCCUCAGAAGACAUCCGCUUACAUAAGCCAACACGAUCUGCACAUUGCGGAGAUGACUGUUAGGGAGACAAUAGACUUCUCAGCUCGUUGUCAAGGUGUUGGUAGUCGAACAGGUAAGAUGUCUUCUGAAGCAUCCGCUAAACUAUUUGCUGAAACAGAUAUAUCAAUUUUCUCUGUACCAAUGUUCAAAAAGUUGUUUGGCUAUAACUAUGCAUUUUAUAGAGGACUACCGAUUAGAUUGAUUAUUCGGGGCAGUGCUAACGAAAUAUUGAUUUGUUUUAUAUAUUUUUUACAUUUUUAUAUGAUAUUUUUUGGCUUUAAUUAUAAAACUAUUUUGAUGAAUUGUAAAAAUUAAAUAUACAAAAUAAAACAAAUUAGAAAAAUCUGUGGAUUUGCACUAACAUAAUUGGUUAAUUUAGAUUGAUUUAAACCAAUUUUAACUGAUUUAGAACAAUUCAAACCGAUUUGAAUCAUGCUCUAUACUAUUGGCUGAAACAGAUAUUAUGAUGGAGGUCAGUAAAAGAGAAAAGGAUGGUGGAAUCAUUCCUGACCCUGACGUAGAUGCUUACAUGAAGGUCCCAUUCCAUAAGCUAAUCUUUUAAGAGGGAUGAUUAUAAAACCUUUUGUUAAUCCCAUUGUGCAGGCUAUAUCGGUUAAUGGACUUAAAAGAAGUCUACAAACAGAUUACAUCUUGAAGGUAAUUUCUCUGACAACAACUCAGACUUGUAAUCCUUGUUGAUUAGCUUCUUGAUUAUGUCAUGUAUUUGCAAUUUGCAUUUCUUUUUCUUCAGAUCCUAGGGCUUGACAUAUGUGCAGAAACAUUGGUUGGUAAUGCCAUGAAAAGAGGCAUAUCUGGUGGUCAAAAGAAGCGUCUUACUACAGGAGAGAUGAUCGUUGGUCCAACAAAAGCUCUGUUUAUGGAUGAAAUCACAAACGGCUUAGACAGCUCCACAGCGUUUCAGAUAGUUAAGUCACUUCAGCAGCUGGCUCACAUCACCGACGCAACUGUGUUUGUUUCCCUUCUUCAGCCUGCUCCAGAGUCAUAUGAUCUCUUUGACGAUAUUGUCUUGAUGGCUGAAGGAAAAAUAGUUUAUCAUGGUCCAAGAGGCGAGGUCUUGAGGUUCUUUGAAGAGUGUGGGUUUAGAUGCCCAGAGAGGAAAGGUGUUGCAGACUUUCUACAAGAGGUAAGAAGCCAAGUUUAUGUUCCUUGACACUUACGUUUUGUUCUGAGUUGUUUUUGUUUUGCAGGUUAUAUCUAGGAAGGACCAAGGACAGUACUGGCUGCACCAGGACAUACCCUAUACCUUUCUCUCAGUAGACGCGUUGUCCAGGAGAUUCAAGGAGUUAGAGAUUGGGAGAAAGAUUGAGGAUGCUCUCUCUAAGCCCUAUGAUAAUUCAAAAACCCACAAGGAUGCUCUCUCUUUCAGUGACUAUUCUCUUCCAAAGUGGGAGCUGUUCAGAGCAUGCAUCUCAAGAGAGUUUCUAUUAAUGAAGAGAAACUCUUUCGUCUACCUCUUCAAGACGUUUCAGGUUACAUUCUUCGUUCCUUGUGUCUUCUUUCAAUGUUCUAGGGUUAGGUCUAAAGAAACCCUUCUUGCCCUUUAUGUUUUGCAGCUUGUUCUGUCAGCAAUCCUCACUAUGACAGUUUUUAUUAGAACACGUAUGGGUGUAGAUAUCAUUCAUGGAAACUCUUACAUGAGUUGUCUCUUUUUCGCAACCGUUGUGCUUUUGGUGGAUGGUUUGCCAGAGCUGUCUAUGACUGUUCAACGUCUUGCCGUGUUCUACAAGCAAAAGCAACUUUGUUUCUAUCCAGCUUGGGCUUAUGCAAUCCCUGCAACCGUGUUAAAGAUCCCUCUCUCUUUCUUCGAAUCUCUCGUUUGGACUUGCCUUACUUACUACGUCAUUGGAUACACUCCUGAAGUCUCUAGGUAAGAAGAACUCUAUAACCAUCUCUUGCUUGCUCCCUACUCAAACGAUUAUGGAAAGUAAUGGUUACUUGGUGUUUUUAGGUUCUUACGUCAGUUCAUGAUGCUCUUUGCUGUUCACUUCACAUCCAUAUCCAUAUUCCGAUGUAUAGCUGCAAUCUUUCAGACAGGAGUUGCUUCAAUGGCAGCUGGUAGUUUCGCCGUAUUAAUCACCUUUGUGUUCGCCGGUUUCGCCAUCCCAUACAGUAAGACUUUUGCACUCUUUCUUCAUUUCAGUCUUGUUCCAAACUUCCAUCAAAACAUGACCAGGGCCGGAUCUAGGCACAGCCCAAUAAAACAUCGGUCUCGGUCCCUAAAUUUUUUGAAAUUUUUAGUACGAAUAAACCCCUAAACUAUAGAAAAAAAAAAUUGUUUUACUAAGAUUUUUAAAUGUUUCAAGCUCCCAAAAUCUCAUAUCCGGCCCUGAACGUGACAUUGGUUUUGUUGCUGCAGCUGAUAUGCCAGGGUGGCUGAAAUGGGGAUUCUGGGUGAAUCCUAUAGGUUACGCAGAGAUUGGGCUCUCUGUAAACGAGUUUCUUGCUCCGAGAUGGCAGCAAGUAAGUAUCUCAUCUUUUUACAUACUUCUCUUCAUCAUUCUUACAAGACUAAUCAAGUUUUUCUUGUUAUGUUUUGUAGAUGCAACCAACGAAUGUUACAUUGGGGAGAACCAUACUUGAAAGCAGAGGACUGAACUAUGAUGAUUACAUGUACUGGGUCUCAUUAUGUGCCUUGCUGGGACAGACUCUCCUCUUCAAUACUAUUUUCACUCUAGCUUUGAGUUUCUUGAAAUGUAAGUUACAAAAUAUCGAAAAAUAUGCCAUGGACUAAAGCAUAAACUGAAGAGCUUCUUUUUUAACAGCUCCCACUACAUCUCGCGCUAUGAUCUCCAAAGACAAGCUCUCUGAGCUGCAAGGAACAAAAGAUUCAUCACUCAAUAAGAACAAGAAGGCAAUAGAUUACACAGAAGAUUCAGGUGAAACAUAUAUGUCUUUCUUGUCAUACAAGCAAACUCUUUAUUCUCAGUUUAGCUUUAUUGACCUAAUUCAUUCAGCAGGGAAGAUGGCCUUACCUUUUAAGCCUCUCACCAUAACAUUUCAAGAUUUGAACUACUACGUUGACGUUCCUGCGGUAAAAUCUUCUCCUCCCCAUCCUUGGAUCUUAACCAUCUUCAUAUGCAAACAUGAUCAUCAAAGGACGUUUUGACUAAUCUUAGGAGAUGAGAGUUCAAGGAUACAAUGAGAAGAAACUGCAGCUUCUCUCAGAUAUCACCGGAGCUUUCAGACCAGGCGUUCUAACAGCGUUGAUGGGGAUCAGUGGAGCCGGAAAAACAACUCUACUCGACGUUCUCGCCGGAAGAAAAACAAGCGGAUACAUCGAAGGAGAGAUCAGAAUCAACGGAUACUUUAAAGUCCAAAAAACCUUCGCAAGAGUCUCAGGCUACUGCGAGCAAACAGAUAUACACUCACCAAACAUCACCGUCGAGGAGUCUCUAAUCUACUCAGCUUGGCUCCGUCUAGUUCCAGAAAUAGAUCACAAAACCAAAAUAGUAAGCCGGCCCUAGUGAUUCUAAAAAAGGCAAGAAUGACCUAGAAAGUAACUUGACUGAAAAGAAACUCGUUGCAGAGAUUCGUGAAGGAAGUUCUUGAGACGAUAGAGCUGGAGGAGAUCAAGGACGCGAUGGUGGGAGUCCCCGGCCAGAGCGGGCUGUCGACGGAGCAGAGGAAGAGGUUGACGGUGGCGGUGGAGUUGGUGGCGAAUCCUUCGAUCAUAUUCAUGGACGAGCCGACGACGGGGCUGGACGCAAGAGCAGCAGCCAUUGUGAUGAGAGCUGUGAAGAACGUUGCGGAGACUGGACGUACCAUUGUGUGCACUAUUCAUCAGCCUAGUAUCGAUAUUUUUGAAGCCUUCGACGAGGUACAUAUGUUUUUCAAAUAUGAAAAGUAUUUAUAGUGGUUUUGUUUUAAAAGAAUACUCUCACAUGUAUUAUAUUAACAUUUUAUCCAAAAGUAGAUAUAAGAGAUUUUUUUUCUUCAAAAUAGCCUUUAUCAAAAAUUUGAAAAUUAUAGAAUAAUUGAGUUUAGGGUUUAAAAGGGAUGGGUGAGAUUAGGUUUUAUAAAUUAAAGUAACUUAAUUUUUUUUAUUUAAAUGAGUGUGUUUUGAAGAUCUGUUAGUGUUAUAUUUGUGAUAAACUUUAAAAGUGCUAUUUUGGAGUUUUGACUAUUUUGUGGAUAAUUAAGAAGAAAUUUCUUAUAACAUAUUGUUUUUAUUACAUGUUCAGUUGGUACUUCUGAAGAGAGGAGGUCGCAUGAUUUACACUGGACCACUUGGACAACAUUCUUCUCAUGUCAUACAGUAUUUUGAGGUUAGCGUGUUAUACAAGAAAAUGAGCCAGUUUAGUUUCUAUGACUUUUUCAAUGUUUUAACGAAAUAAUUAACUAUGUAUAUUUUUGUUAUUUGGGGUUAAUGAACAGAGUAUCUCUGGAGUUGCUAAGAUUAAAGACAACUACAAUCCAGCAACAUGGAUGCUAGAGGUCACUUCACAGUCUGUAGAGAUUGAACUCAACAUGGAUUUUGCAAAAAUCUACAAAGAAUCUGCUCUCUACAAGUGAGCUGAAUAUCUCAAAAACAACUGAAACCUUGUCAUUUAUUACGAGCUCAUGUGUUUUCUCUGUAGCAGGAGCAACUAUGAGCUUGCUCAGGAGCUGAGCAAACCGGAUCCCGGGUCAAGCGAUUUACAUUUCGAGAGAACUUUUGCGCAGAGCUGGUGGGAACAGUUCAAAUCUUGUCUAUGGAAGAUGAGCUUGUCUUACUGGAGAAGCCCUGCUUACAACUUGAUGCGAAUCUUUCACACUUUAGUCUCUUCUUUGAUCUUUGGUUUACUCUUCUGGAAGCAAGGUCAAAAGAUGUAAGUUAGUUGCAUAAAAUACAUUCAAAUCAUCAUUAGAGCAUGUUCAUUAGUGAGACCCUUAAGUGUCUCUUAAGUGGGGUUUAAUAAUUUUUUAACUAUUAAAUUUAAUAUAAGAGAUUUUGUUAAGAAACACUUAAUUAUAGUGGUUUAUUGGUGGUUUCUUAAUUAAGGUGCUUAACAAAUAAAAAAAUAUUAAACUUUUUUUAAACAUAAAAUUUUAAACAAAGAUUAAUUUUAUUUAUUAAAUAAAACAAAGUCAAACAUAACAUUUUAAACAUAGAUUUUAAAAUAAAAAAAAUUAAAACAUUAAAACAAAGAUUACUAAAAUAAACAAUACUAAUUUUAAAGCGGCAUCCAAGUUCAGUUGUUGUGUUGAUCACGUCCAAAUUUAUGCCAUAUAUGUUCAACCAAAUCACCUUUCAGUUGUUGAUGCGCUUGUCUAUCACGAAUUCUUGUUCGAACACCCAUCUGAUUGGCGAUAUUUGUAGGGAUAUCUGUAGAAUAUGUUAAAUCUACAUAUGAACUUCUGCUGCCUUCGCCUUGUUGGAAUCCCGAGACAUCAAACUAACUGCAUUCAUCCCGUUCGUUUUCUACUAUCAUAUUAUGGAGUAUGAUACAUGCUCUCAUAAUCUUCCCAAUCUUGACUUUAUCCCAACAAAGUGCUGGAUUUUUAACAAUGGCAAAUCGAGCUUGCAAGACUCCGAAAGCACGCUCGACAUCUUUUCGGGCAGCUUCUUGAUGUUGAGCAAAUAAAACUGCUUUCGGCCCUUGUGGAAGUGAAAUAGAUUGGAUGAAAGUUGCCUAUUUCGGAUAAAUUCUAUCGAUCAGAUAGUAAGCCAAAUCAUACUCUUUUCCGUUGACUGAGAAAUUCACUUGCGGGGCUUGACCAUUUAUGAUGUCAUCAAAAACAGGUGAGCGAUCUAGAACAUUAAUAUCAUUUAAGGUACCUGGAGGUCCAAAAAACGUAUGCCAUAUCCAGAGAUCAUAUGAAGCAACCGCCUCUAAAACUAUUGUGGGUUUCCCCGAACCACGAGAAUAUUGCCCUUUCCAAGUGGUGGGACAAUUCUUCCACUCCCAAUGCAUACAAUCGAUGCUUCCUAUCAUCCCGGGAAAUCCACGAACCUCUCCAAUAUAAAGUAGACGUUGAAGGUCAUCCGGUGUUGGUCUUCUUAGGUACUCAUCGCCGAACAAAUUUAUGAUUGCUUCCACAAAAUUUUCCACACAUAACCGAACAGUGGUUGCACCGAGCCUGAGGUAUUCGUCGACCGCAUCAAGCGCAGAACCAUAUGCCAACACACGAAUAGCUGCUGUACACUUUUGAAGCGGGGAGAGACCUUGCCUUCCGGUAACAUCCUUCUUCUGACGAAAGAAUUGGACUUCGUUGGAGAGGCGAUCAACAAUAUACAUGAACAAAGGCUUGUUCAUUCUAAAUCGACGUCGGAAUAGAUUUGCUGGAUAUGUCGGCGCGUCACUGAAAUAAUCAUUCCAUAACCGGAGAUGGCCUUCUUCACGAUUUCUUUCAAUAAAAACUCUCUUUUUCUUUUUCUUCCUUUGAUCUUGUUGAUCACCAUAAACAUUGCACAAAUUCUCAAAUGUUUGUUCGAAAGUCUGAUCAAAAUAUUUAUCGAACAUUUCAUCAAAUGACUCAUCCAAAUCAAAUGACUCAUCCGAGAUGUGAUUUGAAGACGAAGCCAUGAAAGACUUGAUUUCGAAAAUUUAAGAAUGGUGAGUGUGUGAACGUGAGAUGAAAAAGAGAAGGAAGAGAGAACAAAGAGAACCGAGAGAAUGAGAACGUAGAGAAUUGUGAGUAUGAUCAGUUUUUAUUUUACAAAGAGAAUGAAGAACCGAGAGAAGAACAUGAGACUAUAGAGAUAGAGAAUGGUAAGAGAGAAUGGUGAUUUCUUUACGCUCUCAGCACAAACAUUUUAUAACCGUCACCGUUAGAGAGAGAGAGCUCGCCGUUGUCCAUCGUCGACGAGAGAAACCCAUAGAAACGUCGACAAGCUCAACGGAGAGGGAGAGAGAGGAAACGCCGUUUCGUCGACGAGAUCACCGAGACAGAGAGAGAGAGAGAGAGAGGAAUCACCUUUUCGUCGAGGAGAGCACCGACAGAGAGAGAAAGAGCUCGCCGUUGUCCAUCGUCGACGAGAGAAACCAAUAGAGACGUCGACGAGCUCAACGGAGAGGGAGAGAGAGGAAACGCUGUUUCGUCGACGAGAUCACCGAGACAGAGAGGGAGAGAGAGAGGAAUCGCCUUUUCGUCGAGGAGAGCACCGACAGAGAGAGAAAGAGCUCGCCGUUAUCCAUCGUCGACGAGGAAUAUCCAUAGAGACGUCGACGAGCUCAACGGAGAGGGAGAGAGGAAUCGCCGUUGUCGUCACUCUUGCGGAGCAACCGAGAAGAGAAAGGAAAGAGAGAAAGAAACAAGAACGACUUCACCGUUCGGAGAGCCAAUAACGACGUGACACGUCGCCCAAAUUACCGUGUCUUCGAGCACUUAAUUAGGGGACGUCCCUUGGCUUUAUUUCGUGUUUUCCAUUUUUUUUUAUGAUUAAUUAAGUUAAGGGACAUGCUUAAGAGCUGCCUUUGAACAUGCUCUUACAUUCCUAGUAAAGAACUGUCUCACACAUUAGGAAAGUACUAUUUUAUUUCAAAAAUAGCACACAAGAAUAUUUUUUUCCAAAAGAGUAUUAACUAAAAGUAUAUGGGUGUGGAUUUAGUGAUUAUGAUUUAGGGUUUAAUAUUUAGAGAGUGGAGUUAGGGUAAGAGUUUAGGAUACAGAGUAAUUUAGUCAAUUUAAUCUUUAACUAAUUAUAGUUUGAGAAUUUUUCUCUUAUGUUCUAUUUUUGUCAUAAUUGUUUGUAUUUUUUUUUUUUUGGCAGAGAUACUCAACAGAACUUGUUCACAGUUCUUGGAGCCAUCUAUGGCCUUGUGAUAUUCUUGGGGGUAAACAACUGCACUUCAGCUUUACAGUAUUUUGAGACAGAGCGUAACGUUAUGUACCGCGAAAGAUUCGCUGGAAUGUACUCUGCCUUUGCCUUUGCACUGGCUCAGGUUGUGACCGAGAUUCCUUACAUUUUCAUCCAAAGCGCAGAGUUUGUGAUCAUAAUAUAUCCUAUGAUGGGUUUAUACGGAUCUGCCUAUAAAGUCUUUUGGAGUCUCUACUCAAUGUUCUGCAACUUACUCUCCUUCAACUACUUAGCAUUGUUCCUCAUCUCCAUCACUCCAAACUUCAUGCUCGCAGCUAUUCUCCAGUCUCUUUUCUUCGUUGCUUUCAACCUUUUUGCUGGAUUCUUGAUUCCACUACCGGUAAGUUCUUUUUGUAACAAGUCAUUAUAUACCAUUAUCAUCAUCGUUGAUCUUUACCUAUAGUUAAUAGUGUUUUUCCUUGAUGUUGAAACAAUGCAGCAAAUACCAAAGUGGUGGGUGUGGCUUUACUAUCUAACACCUCCCUCUUGGAGUCUCAAUGUGUUUUUCUCGUCUCAGUACGGUGAUAUUCAUCAAGAGAUCAAUGCAUUUGGAGAAACCACGACCGUGGCGAGAUUCUUAGAGGACUAUUUUGGAUUCCAUUAUGAUCGUUUGAUGACUUCAGCCAUUAUUCUCAUAGCGUUUCCAGUUGCAUUGGCUUCUAUGUUUGCUUUCUUUGUUGCCAAACUCAACUUUCAGAAACGAUGAUCCAUCACACACCAACCAAAGGUUUGAAACACCAAAGGGUAGUUUACAAAUUACUGUAUGGACAUGCACGUAUUCGUUGUCACACUAUUUGUAAACACUAAACAAAUGCAAAAUUUAUUUAUAAAAUCAUAAGAAAGUUGGAUAUACUCUAAUGCAUCAAAAUAAAUAGGUCUACAACAUAAUAGUAACUCUCUUAUUUUUUUACCAUAGAGAAAUGAUCUACGGCUGAAUACUUCAAAUAUUAAUUAGUAUACUGCUUCAUGCAAUUGAAAUGAAUAGUAAAGUAUACUGCUUCCUUUAUUCAGGCACAUCAUAAUUUUCAAGAAGAAACGUCAUUUUCUUUCUUUGAUCACAAAAGACACAAGAAGAAAGAGACAUGUGUGUGUCUUGUCGUCCUCCCCAUCUCUACUAACACUUUGAAUUUAAUACUGUCAAACUCAAAGGUCUCCUAAAGCCUAAUUAAUCCCUUUAUGAUCACAUGCCCUUCUCCUUCCUCUCUCUCUCUCCAUUCUCCUAGUACCCAUCAAGAACUUCCACAAAAGUAUUAAACUGUAGCUUCAGGAUCCAACCUCAGAGAAACGGUUCUCAAUCAAGGUUAUUUGAGUAUUGGAUAUUCUUGAUUCUUGAACUCAGGAAAAGUCAUUACUAGCCUGUGAUUCUGCUUCAUGACUUGAGGUUGAAGCAACAACACUUUCUUCACCAGAAGAAACAUCUUUGAUCUUUGAACUUAACUCUUCUUUUUCUUCUUCCACGGAGGCAACAUUUUCAGUUUCUUGAUCAAUGUUUUCUUCCUCAACAAAUCCAUUUCCAUGAGUUUCUUUUUCCUCUCCUUCUUCCUUGGAAGCUGAGGUGGAAACCGAUGAUAAACAAGAAACUUCAGAUGAACUCAACUGCUCUGAUCCUUCAGAACUGCGAGACCCUUUUAUGGAUUCAAGCUUUUUCAUCAGAAACUUUAGUCUCUUCUCUGCUUUCUCCCUUAAUCUGAUCUCUUCUUUCAGAUUUUUCUCCAGCUCUUCCAUCUGUUUCCAAGAGAUUAAAGGUUUUCUUUGAAACAAAAAUCAGCUUAUUACCAAACAAAGAUUAAAAAAAAUAAAAAUAACAGAGCAAAUGAAUUUACAAGUAACAAGAAUGACUCUUUUCUUGGUUGUUGAUUAAACCCAAAUCUUCAAAAAAGUAGUGAGAAAAAGGCAUUUCUUAAACAAGAAUGAUGAUACUAAGGAUUUUAUGAAACUUACCUUUCUGGUAAUGAGGUCUGCUUCAUCUUUUACAGACCUUGAAACUUGCCUCUCUGCAAGCAGUCUCCCUCUUAGACACUCCACAGUUCUCAGAUUUCCCUUCUCUUCUCCUUCCUCCAUCUUCUUACUUGCAAAAUUUGUUCUUAAACAAAAAAAAAGAAGAUAAAAAUCAAUUCCUCAUAUACACUCUCUACAUAGAACUUUCUUAAAAUCACACAAUACGACAUAUACAUGUAUAUAAAGAGAAAGAGAAACCUGCAUUUCGUGUUGUAAUUGAAGGGAUCAAUUGUCAUACUGUUCUUUAUAUAUUCAAAAACCAGAACCAGAUUGGUAAAAGCUUGUAAAGCUCAACUUCUCACCUAACUGCAAAAAGGGUAAACUAAAAAUAAUAAGACAGUUAAGACCAAUGUGUUGUUAGAUUGAUGUCACUAUGAUUUACAUUUAUUGUUCAUUCAGUAAGAGGAACAUAUCAACAUCAUAUCUUAAAAACCAACUUACCACGACACAGUCGACACUCUUCUUUAACAAAAAAAAAAAAAAAAUCUCAAGUUCAAAUAGUAAAACAGAUCCAGUUUCAAAUUCAAACCCCCUCACUUGGUAGAGAAGAGUGAAAUGAACUUAAAACCACAAAAGUUUUGAAGUUCUCCUGAAAAGAAGAACAGAAUCUGUGGUGUAGGGACAUGUUGUAAGCAAAACGACAGUGUGGGAUUGGACUUUUGUUACCUUCUCGUGAGUUGGUUGGUAACUCUCCCACUUCAAGACCUUUUUUAUGGUUAAUAAAUUUAACUUCUUACUACAAGGUUAGUUUUAUAUUAUAUGAUACCGCAAAUAUGCAUGUGAACAAGAGGAGUCAUCCUAUUUGUUAAUAUUAAACCAUAUUGCUAUACAAUUUUAGUUUUACCAAGUGUCACAGAUCCCUUCGUCAACAAUAUCACAACAAUACAAAAACAACAUUUCUUGGCCACACAGAAAGUUAAUGCUCCCAAGUCCCAACCUCUCGCUAUAAUUUUACUAAAUAGUUUGUGUUAAUUUUCUUUUUCAAAUUAGAUAAUUAGUUACCAACACGCAAAGAAAACAUUCGAGUGAUUAAGAGCUCACUUGUACUUCACUCAAAGAUCAAAGUAAUUACCAUAACCCUUUUAAUCAAACUAUACUUAUUUUGUGAAGCAACCUAAUGAAUAUAUUCUUGUUCUUAUUAGGAACCCCGCCACUUCAAUCCAAGCCACUUAGUAACUCUCAAGUUAUAGCGAGCUUGGGUAUGAUCUUACCGAUCAUUCAAAGUUAUGUUCACUGACAACAAUAAAAACUACAUAUCAUGAAAAGCAAAAUCAUUACACAUAAACUCUUUUAGAAGCCCCACAAGAAACCCUUUUGAACUCAUUCGACUUCACGGCAAGAAAAUCAAAAAGCUUCAUCAAGCUCUUGUUUCAUGAUACACUCCUUGUCACUCAUCGACUCAACCACACCCUCUAUCAUCUCAUACAUCUCGUUGCUUCUCUCACACGAACCAUCUUUCGCAAUGAAACUUCGUAAUCCUUUACCAGUAUCGAUCCAGCUAGUUCCAGGGAUUUUCUUCAAUCCGAUUUUUUUCAUCUUAUCCCUUACCAUCUCAGCUUCUUCCCAUCUCCCUGCUUGAGUGCAUAGAUUCGCCAUGAUAGUGUAACUCCCUGUAUUUUCUGGUUACAAAAAUAGUAAUACUUAUAUAUAAAAAUUAAUUUUAUUUAAUAUAUUUUCAUUUUUAUAAUAGUAUAUAUAAAUUUNNNNNNNNNNNNNNNNNNNNNNNNNNNNNNNNNNNNNNNNNNNNNNNNNNNNNNNNNNNNNNNNNNNNNNNNNNNNNNNNNNNNNNNNNNNNNNNNNNNNUAUCAUUUUCGUUAAUGUAAUAGGAGGGCCAACCCAAACAGAGAUUGUCAUGAGCGAGAUAGACACACCAGAGAGCUUUCAGCUUAUGGAGUUUGGAGUUAUUUUCGAGGCGACGAAUCACUUUUCCGAAAGCAACAAAGUCGGACAAGGUGGUUUUGGUCCAGUUUACAAGGUAUUUUAAUUUCUCUAGCUAUUUGGACCGAAUCAAAUUAAACUUGAAUCGGCCGGUGACUUGUCUUUCAUUCAACUAAAAAACUAAUAAUAAUAAGGGAAAAUGUGAUGGUAUUGCAGGGAACCUUGCCUGAUGGAAACGAGAUCGCAGUAAAAAGAUUGAAAGCGAGAUCAUCUCAGGGGAUGGCAGAGUUCCGAAAUGAAGUGACUCUGAUUUUACGUGUACUACACGUGAACCUCGUCCGACUUCUAGGCUGUUGCAUCCAUGGAUACGAUAGACUAUUGGUCUACGAGUUCCUGGAGAAUUCUAGCCUCAGCAGCUAUAUCUUCAGUUACUCUCACUCUCUCUCUCUCUAUUCUAGAAUUUACUUGUUAUUUUGUAAACUUUAAACUUGAUUCGUUUUGUUUUUGAUUGAUUACCUCAGAUCAAACUAGAAGCCCGCUCCUAAACUGGGAGCAUAGGUUCGAUAUAAUGAAAGGUAUUGCUGAAGGAUUGUGCUACCUCCACAACUUCACAAGCCCACCGAUACUUCACCGCGACCUGAAACCAAGUAAUGUGCUUCUAGGCAGAGACAUGAUCCCAAAAAUCUCAGAUUUUGGGCUGGCUCAGAUGAUGGAAACUGGCACCACAGAAGCUGCAAUGGAAACAGCAGUAGGAACUUAGUAAGCAUCAACAAAUUGUUAAAACUUUCUUCUUCUUCUUUUUUUUUUUUUCACUAAAACAAAAUCACAAUCAAUUAAUUAAAUCCUCUUUUGUUUGUUUUUUGUGCAGCGGCUACAUGUCUGAAGAAUAUGCGAAAGAUAAUAUCAUGUCCCAGAAAUCAGAUGUCUUCAGUUAUGGAGUAGUGUUGUUAGAGAUUCUUACUGGAAGGAGAAAUCAUGAGUAUUGUAUUGCAAAUCCAGGAGAUAGUCUUCUCGACUUCGUAAGUUUAAUUUUUCUUUGUAUUCUUAAAAUUUUAAAGAAAAUUUAUAUUUUAGAGUUUUUUAAAAAGGUUUGGAGGCGAUGGAAGGAUGGUACUGGAUUGGAGGUCGUGGAUUCGAGCUUCCAUGAUGAUUCAUUUAUAGAAGACCAGGUUUUACGAUCAAUGAAGAUUGGUCUAUCCUGUGUUCAACAAAAUAUGCACGAUAGGCCUAGUACAAGGACCAUUGUGGUUAUGUUUGAAAAUGGCCCACGAUCAGAAAUUCUAGAUCCGACGAGACCAAACUAUAAUCUCACAAGAGCUGAUUCAUCUUCUUCUCCAGUUACCGUUACCGACCAAUCAGUCACUAUUAACGAGGCCACUUUGUCAUGCACUGACGCCAGGUGAUGUUUUUAUGUAGUGCGUUUUUCUACUAGUUUACUUAAAAAAAAAAAAAUUUGAACUAUCAUUCCUAUGUUAUGUUUAAUUUCAUGUGUUUUUUCUUCUAGUUUACUCUUUGAAAAAAUAACUACUAUUAUUCAUAUGUAAUGUUUUUAGUUGUUUGGGUCUCAGUGCGGGAGACUGAUACUUUAAUGGUUUAUCUCUUUUGCUAUGCACUUAAUGACAACGAACAUAAUAUCUCGAUAUAAUAAUUAACAACUAGGAUGAGACAAAACCAAAACCAAAACCAAAGGCAACAAGUUACAAGACAAACUGUUCAAAGUCAAUCUAAUCACAAAGAUAAACCCAGUUACAUAAUAUCCCACCUAUUUUUGUUUUUUAGCUGGUGUUUGAUCGAUGUUCUUCACCUGCAAGCAAAAAUGUGGCUUUAGCUGCUUCCUCUUUUGGUGUCUGAAAUGCUUUAAGAACAGAGAGAGAGAGAGGGAGAGCAAAAUUGUUUUACUGGGCCGCAUUCUAAAUAGUACGGCUUUGGUAAUUAUGUAAACAUAUCUUAUACCGAGACAAAUAAGAAUUAAAUUAAGUUAUCCUAUCAAUUAAUUUCAAAACCUCCACUUAGUCUAAUGAUUAACGGAAUCAUUUGGUUAGAAUAAUUAUUUAGCCAUAAACACCAAAAUCACAUGGAACAUAAGCUCAAUUACCUGUUUGGUGCCUUCAACAGAAGAAGUACGACCCCAUCUCUCAGGGGUCCCAAAGUAUGCUACUGUUGAAAGCAAAGCUUGAUAUAUGAACCGGAGGCUUUAUCUCUGUCUUGUUAUUAAUUUUUCUCAAAUGCCACCCCAAAACUUGUGAAGAUUCACAAACCGGCCUCUCUACUAUCACUCGCUUCCUAUUAGCUGAUACCAAUAUGUAUACAUUGUUUAGCCCCGCAAAAUGGACUAUCCCGCUUUGUUUGUGAUGCUCAAUGUGUCUCAACGCUAGGUUCCUUUGAUGAUCAAGCUCAAAUUCAAAGCUCGUGAAGUUUUCUUUGAAGACUAUACGUCUAUACAUUAAACCAGUUUUUCUUAACAUUGUUGGUGAAGAGUUUUCUUCAGCAUCGGAGUGUUUCUCCACGACUAUCCACAAUAAAGGAGGUGGAACUAGCCUCAAAGUAUUGGCCAUUCUCCUAAGGAGCACAAUUUUGUAACGAUCUUUCGUCAUUACCCAGAGUUACAACAAUCACUAGACCUCUUGGUGCAACUUCUUCUUCUUCUGUCUUGGAGAGUGAUCUGGUUUCUUGUUCAGGUUCUUGUGACUUCAAAGGUGCUGGGGCCUGACCUUGGGAACUGUUCAAUGCUUUAUCAACGAGAGGAUUGUGUGUAUAGGUAGAGUUCUCAAAAGGUUGGGAAGGAAUCUGAGAUUUAGUGGUAGUAGAGGGGGUGGUUUCGAAAUUAUAGAAAAGUGAAGCCUUACCAGCAGGAGCAAAGCCAGUGAUGAAACACAUUACAAAACAUAGAGAGAAAUGGAUCACAGCUUUCUUCCAUACCUGAGUUUUCUUCUUUGAUCUCUCCAGAGAUCCCAUCAGGAUCCAACCCUAAGAAGAAGUUUUUCUUAAUUAAGUGAUUUUCCUUUUAUUUUUUGGGAAGAACAAUCUAGUUUGAAGAGUAUGAAAUAUAAGGGCUUUUAUGACAUUUGUAUAGUUUUUGUCUUUAUAUUGUUGGUAAAUGAUUAAAACCGGCGAGCUACGUAGGAGUACGUUCUCUUUGAUUGAUUGCGUGUGUUGGUUGUGUUCUGCAACAACUUGUUGGGAUCAUUGGAACUCACUAGCUAGCUGAAACAUGUUUGGGAAAUAUAAGAAAAUUACUGUUAAUAUAGCAAAUAUAUUAAAAUUAAACUUUGCUUAUUAAUGACUCUUAAUGCAAGUAAUUAAGUAUUAUUUUAGUUGUUGUUGAUGACUGAUGAGUAAGGUUAUGAUCAAGAUAGGAACUUUUGAGAGUACCUAAUAUAGAGGAUAGUAGUCUUCAAAAAGUGUGAAGUGAUGAAACUUGAAGUUGAAAGAGACAAUCCAAAAAAUAAAUAUUAACAUGUCAUCGUGGUUUAUAUUAUGCACUUUAACAAAUGGAUAUCAUUUUUACCGUUAUAUCAAGCCAUGUAAAUACAUACCACCACAAACAAGUCGUUUUCUCAAGAAAGUUAGAAAAGAGAUCAAGCUGGACGAGGAGUGAGCCUAUCUUUGGCCGCCGUGUCUCCACGGUGGAGGCCAGAGGAGAUACGCAAGCAAGAAGAAGCCCCCCGAGAAACGCUCUGUUACUAACUCGGUGUUCUUGGAGCAAGAACAAGAAGAGACAAAGGAACCUCAUGAUGAUGACGUCAUUGUCGGAGAACCCAAGGUUGUGCAUUUAAUAUUCAGUUCAUUUAAUACAUCAGUCAAGUCACAUUUCCAAGAAAAUACUCCACUAACGAAGGCGUCUUUGUCUAUUUUUAAUUCGUUCCUUAACGCGUACGGAACGCGGCCCAAUAAAAUAAUUACUUUAAUUCUAUUUUAAGUCUCUGCUUCUCUACCUUCUUUCCUCUUUGUAAGAUCAGAGAGAGAGCGUUUGUUGAGAAGAUCUUAUUAGAAGGUGAAUAUCAAUCAGAACAUGGCGAAAGAAGACAACCACGAAGCUCAACGAUGCGAGUGCGAGGAUCAUGAGGAAUCGAGUCCUCUCUUGCAAGUUAACGAAAGCAAGAUCUGCUCAAAAGGGGACACCACCAAGACGGCGGAGGAAUAUGGCUGGACGGCGGAUGGAUUGCCGGUGAGCCAAGGGAGCGUGAUCGGCGAGCCGAUCGGGAGAAACCAAUGGAGUUCCGGUCUUUUUUCCUGUCUCGGCCGAAACGACGAGUUCUGCAGCAGCGAUCUCGAAGUUUGUGAGUCUUUAUGUUCUGUCUCAAUGAUUAGUGUCUGAAAUUUGGGAUUUUUUUGUUAAUGGGUUUCUUGAUUUGGUGGAGGAUGAAUUGUAAAGUUUUGAUUUUGAUGUGUUUUUCACUGUUGGUGAGUCUUGCUUGUGUUCUGUCUGACUGUCUCAAUGGUUAUUGUCGGAAAUUUUGGUUUUUUUUUUAUUUGGUAGAGAUUGAAUUGGAAAGUUUUGAUUUUGAUGUGUUUCACGGUUGGUGAGUCUUGUGUUCUGUCUCAAAUGAUUAUUGUCGGAAAUUUGAGGUAUUCCCUAAUGGGUUUCUUGAUUUGGUGGAGAUUGUAUUAGAAAGUUUUGAUUUUGAUGUGGUUCAUGGUUGGUGAAAAGACUCAAAUCUUUUACAUCUUAAUGGCUUCUUCUUUGUUAGGUCUCCUUGGAAGUGUGGCUCCAUGUGUGCUGUAUGGAAGCAAUGCAGAGAGGCUUGGGUCUGCUCCUGGAACGUUUUCGAAUCACUGCUUGACGUAUUUGGGGUUGUACUUUGUCGGCAACUCUCUAUUUGGAUGGAACUGCCUUGCUCCAUGGUUCUCUUAUUCUAGCCGCUCUGCCAUUCGCCGAAGGUUUAACCUUGAGGUAAUGAUCAAAUUAUCUGGUAUUUAAUCCGGAAAAAAACUGAAAAAUCUGUUUUUAUAUCUGAAUUAUCUGAAAUUAUCUGAGAAAAAGGAACCGAACCGAAAUUUUGUAUUAGUCAGUUUUUAACAUUGUUGCCCGAACCAAAAACGGAAAUAACCAAAACCGAACCAAAUUUCAAAUAAUCAAACGGUUCCUAUAUCUCUAGAACCGAAAAUCGAAAAAAAAAAAGAACUGGAAGUGAACGCCAAGCCUAGUUGUACUCUAAGAAAAGAGUCAAUCAACUCCUCUCUUUAUAUAUCUUCUUGGUUGUGUACCACUCUCUGAGUUUUAUAGGAGCCAUGGAGAGACAAGUCUUGUCUCAUAGGCACUCUAGUGUCUCUAGUUUUGGGCAUGUGUAUUACGAGAGUCUCCGUUGCAUUCCAUCUCGUGACCCUAUCUUUUGUUUUCUUUUGGUGUAAAAAACAGGGAAGCUUUGAGGCGAUGAACAGGUCGUGUGGUUGCUGCGGUAGCUGCAUAGAGGAUGAGAUGCAAAGGGAACAUAUGGAGACGACUUGUGACUUUGUGACGCAUGUCCUUUGCCAUACAUGUGCACUUUGCCAAGAAGGCCGUGAGAUCCGCAGGAAGGUUCUUCACCCGGGUUUCAAUGCUCAGUCCACUGUGGUUGUGCUUCCACCAAGUGAACAAACCAUGGGACGUAAGUAAGUGAAAAGCUUGCGUUGAGUCAUGUGUCCUAAAUAACAUUUGUAAUACACAAGGUGAACUAUGACGUUGUCUCUUGCUUGCUUUUGUCGCGUGUUCUUUUCUUUUUUUUGGUCUUUCUUCAGUGCAUGCAAAUGUAUGUAUAUCUUUAUUGUUACGUACUUGGUUUUGGAUAUGGUCUUGUAAUAUUCAAUAAAGUUUCGCAACUUGUAACUCUAUAAACGUGGAGGCAUUCCUUUCCGGCGGAACCUUCAUUGCUCAUAGCUCCAAACCAAAGUCUGUGAGAUCAGAUGUGGUAAAGAACGGUUCGGAGAUUCUAAUGAAAUGAAAGAUCUGUUUUUGGACCGGAGAGAUCAAGACAAAAGUGAUUGAUUGCAUUUAAUUUAUAAGACUUUUUAUAUCGCAACUUUGCGAGUCUUUAAUUGUUGCACUAGAGAUCCAUUGUAAUCAUUGUGGUUAAUUUGACUCCUUGAGUUUAUUAGUGUGCAUGUGAUAUGAUUUCUUUAGAUUUGGUUUUAAUAUACAUUUUGUGAUAAAAGGGUCAAGAUCUAUAGCUUAAUACUAUAAUUAAUGUUAAUUAGUACAUUUGACAUUUUCUUAUAGAAAUGAUUAAAUAGGUCUAUUGAUUAGACGCCAAACAAGACUGGCCAAAUUAAUCGCUGAUAAUUCAAAAGAAACCAGACGAAUUAUCAAAAGAUCUUCUAAUAAUGAAAUGAUUUGUACAAAGAGUCAAAAGGAGACACAUGGAGAAGUGCCCAACUCGUCUGGCAUGGCACCUCACUACUAAGCAAUCACGAUUUGGCUUGUGGAGUCAACGAGCUUAUGACAUUAGCUAGUUAAUUUCCCCCAAGUUGACAUCUACUUUUUAAACACAAUUUAUUUAUUACUUAUUAUACAAUUGUAGAUCUCAUCAUAUAUUUUUGAUAUGCGAUUUCUAGUAGUUUAUUGUAGACGACUGUUCUUUGUUUUCUCUUACUCUCUAAUCUGAAUCUCAUUGCAUGGUCGGCAACAUUUUUUACUUGGAACAUUUUACCAUCAAUAAUCGAAUUUUGAUAUCAUGUUAAUAAGUUCUAAAAACUUUAAUGUAUAACUUAACUUAUGUCCCUUAUACAUUACCUGUUAUUCCAUCACAUUUUGAUUUUGAAUUUGUAAGAAGUUUAUAUUUGUGUAUCAUAUAAGUUUAUGGUCUUGAAUCUAAUAGUUUUUGGUACUGUUAGUUCUAAAAUCAUUGACGAAUAUACCAAAAAAUGUGACAAGAGAUAUAUAAAAGUCCCAUCAAAUAAAUUUGGAUUGGUAGUUGUUUCGAAGUCACUCCCUAAUGUACCAAGAACAUAUCUUAAUCCAUCCCAGUUUUUGUAUCUCUUCUUAUUGACUCCAAACCAUUAACACACACACACACAUACAUACAUAUGAUAUAUGAUAUAUAUGGUUAUUAUCUUUCAUAGCAAACAUAAUCAGUUAGUUCACAUAACGACAAUCCUUCCUAAUCUCUCCUUGGUCACCGGUGAGAGGAUUGGUCUCGGACAAGAGCCUGAUAGCGCGUGAAAAUUGCUCAUGGAAGUAACCAUUGUCCGCAGCCAUCUUCGCCACAAAGGGUGCGGUCCUCGGAUCCGUGGCUAUCUCAUCAUCGAUGACAAGGAGUCCUUUAUGAGCCAUGAUGUUUUUGUAAUACAUAUUGUCCACAACCAUCGGUGUCUCAGGGUCGUUGCGGGAGUAUAAGACCUCUUUUGGGUUCGGAUUUGGAGUAGGGCAACGUUUUUUCAAGUAAAGGGCGUACGUAGGGUCGAGAGUCGGGUCAAUCGUUGGGUAUAGCCGGUGCACUAGGUUAACGCAGUGGACUCUACCCACUGAGUGUGCACCUACGGUAAUAAAAAUUGACCGAUCAAUAACAAUGACAGUUAUAUAUCUUUAUUAUCUUAACUAGUAAAUAAACUUUCCAAAAAAAAAUAUCAUAUGUAUUAUUUAAGUAUAUGGUUGAUAAAACUAUUUUAUUUUGAUUUUAUCAGAAAAUGAACCAAAAAUACCCAAAUUAUCUUCUAUUGAACCACCGGACCGUAUAAAAUUUGGUUUAAUUAACGGUGUAAAACGCACAUCUAUCCUAAAAUCUUGAACAAAUUCAAAAACCAAAAUGUCCAUCCUGGUUAGUGUUACCGUGCUGGCUCAAAUCUAUUGACCUAUGCAUUUAAAAGAUAGUUUCUACUCAGAUUUAUAACUCAGGUACCUAAGAGAGCAACGGUGGCUUCAACAUCGAUGCCGAUGGAGUUAAAGUUUGAGAGAACAGACGAGAGAGAGUCAUUGUGGUUAGGAACUAGAGCCUCAACAUCUCUCAAGUAGCUCCCUCUACUGUCUCUCCUUCCUGUCUUUAUCAUAUCUAUCUUUGGCCCUUUCAACUAUUCAUUUCACCAACCAAAAAAAAAACAUCUUAAUAAAAAUAUAAUUCCAAACUAAUUAAAUUAACCUUACAAUGCAUAUACUUACCAUGACAAUACCAUCUCUAGCAGAGAGAGCAACAAUAUCAGCGCAAGAGACUGUUCCAGGACAUUCUUUCUCGAGUGCAUCUUUGAUAGUCUUGAUAUACUUAAAGUUUCUCAUACCAAAACUCCUUGUUGACUUUUGCUCUGAUUCCACACCUCUUGCUGUCUCUAGUAGCAGUGACGCAUCACACGACUACAAAAAAAAAUACCCAUGAACAUAAAUAUUCACGAUGACUUUUUGGUAAUCAUGUUUUUAAAAAUAUUCACGAUGAUGAUGAUGCCAUGUGAUUAUAGAGUAAAUGUAAUUACCUUGACGACGCAGUCAUGGAAGAGAUUACGGAGCCAAGAUACGGCUGUGUUGCCGUGUUUGUAGUACAGCGUCUCCACUUGUUGUCUGAUUAUCUCUUCCGCUCUCGGACAACUCUCUCUGUAAUAAUUCAUCUUCAGUUCCGCAUUUCCUACAGUUUAGUUAAUCUUUAGAUUCGAUUUAAAAAAAAGUUAAUCUUUAGAUUAUUCGCUUUAUUUACGUAUGAGUGAUUACUAGCCAUUUUAUAAUAUAAUAUUUGUUGAAUUUUUACGGUGGAAAUUAGUUUACUAAAAAAAACCGUAGUUAUUUUGGUUUCAGCUAGCAAAAAUUAGAAAUAUAUUCUCGAGACAUGGAUACACGUGGCAUAAUGUGAUAAGAGAAAAGGGAAUAUAAAUUACCGAUAUGAAAGAUGGAAAAUAACUGUAAUAACAGGCAAAAGAAAGCCAAAAAGCAGAAGGGCAUCUUCACAAUGGCCAUCUUUUUCUCUCCUAUCUUUUUGUACUUUGUUGAUUGGUGUGUCUCUUUAUGUGUCCAAUGUAGGGUUAUAUAGAGAUUCAAGAGACUUGAGAAACUCUCUUUAAUCGUGUAAUAUAUAAUUAAGUAUUUUUAUUUCUUAUAGUCAUAGUGGUUGCCCAUGUUAAUUAUUCUUUUUUGAAAUUAUCAGGGGAUUUCUUAUUCUAGACGAAUAUUAAUAUUGAAGCUUGUAACCACUAGCUAUAUAUCUGAACUCAAUAGUUGUUGAACAUGUGAAUUCAGUGAGACGAGUUUUCCUAUUCUAUCCGAUGAUAAUACAAAAUUAAAUUAGUUCGGCUUUUCACUUCUUUUCACUUUUAAUUAGCCUUCCUCAUACAUGUUUCAUGUUCACAAGAUACAAAAGGAGGAGAUCUGUAAUAUAAAUUACGCUCUAACUUGUAACUAAUUGAUUGGAUUGGAUUCGAAUAAAUAAAAUCAAAAUGUAAAUGCUUGCGAUGAAUAUGUAUAUUACACAUCAACUUCAAGAUGACCGACUCAAUUAACUCCCAAUCAUGCUAAUCUAUAGGUAUUCAAUAUAUAGCAUACAAUAUUAAAUACGGUUUCACUUAUAUGAGUUCAUUCACUAAUAUAUGAGUAAAUUAUUAUUACCCGACUGCUGCAUAAAUUUUAUACCACCGAUUUAGUUUAUAGAUUCUAACAGACUUACUGACAUGUUAUAUUAUUCCAUUUGAAAUAUCGUUACCAGUCUGGAUUCUUUGGCUGACUUAAAAAAAAUAUUUUGCUUCAAUUGUGUAACAAAUGUAGAAGGAUAUUAUAGACUAGUCAUAAAUAUGUAUAUAUGCAUGGCCCAUUGUUAUACAUUUUGGGAAAAUUAUUGAAUAUAUAUUAUAUAAAAUCAUCUGAUGGUAGCCACAAUUUUUUUGUUUAAAUUAUCUGUAACAUGAUUACCGUCUAUAGCGGGUUUGCGUCAUUUCGGACAUGCGCUUGAUGCAAAAUCAAUACGACUGUGGAUGUUAAAAUGGAUAUAUUGACUUCACUAAAUGUUAAUAUCAUCAUCAGCCACUUUAUCCUUCGGCCACUUAGUCACUUGUGAUAUUUUUAACACAACACAUUGGGUGAAUUCGUAUUAUACGCAUUUAAUGUGGCACCAAGAGUUAAUUCAGACCCAUUCAUAGCUAAGCAGUUUAUAAUAGGUUGCCGCUAUUUCAACGUAUCAUUCAUCAAAAUUUGAUGUAUCUAUUUUAGUAGAAAACGAAAGAUGUUUCAUUUUAUUUGGUGUAAUAAAUCUUUAAUGCUCUUGAAUACUGCUUAAUACCGUCAGAACUCAGAACAUUAACUUUAGUUUUAAAUUAUAAUGCAAUUACUAAAACACUGCAAAUUUAUUUCAUUAUACAAUAUACAAAAAAUGAUCAUGUAUACUCUCUCUCUUUUCACAAUGAUAAAUUCCCAUUUUUGUUUUUAAAGAAUUUUAAGGUUUUAAUACAUAUUCCCUCAGUUUCGUAAAGAAUACCACUUUGACAUUUUCACACAAAUUAAAAAAAUGAUUAAAAUACAUUAAAGUUCUUAUUAGUUACACUUAAUAUGAAACAGAAAGAGUAUUUAUUAGUACUUGUUACAAAUUGCAUAUAUCAAAAUAUUUAUUAAUAAUAAAUACAUUUUUAUUUUUAUUAGUUUAAAUUUAUGUAAAAUUGUAAAAAAUUUAUAAUUGAUCACUAAACAUUAAUUAAUAUGUGUAAGAAAUGAAAAUUUAAAAAAAAUGUGAAACAGAAAGACUAUCACAUAAUUUAAUAAAUGUAAAAACUACAAGAAUUUAAGUUAAUAAUAUAUUUACGUCAAUAAUACUUAUGUUUCGGGUUGAUAUCUUAAUUCGUUUUGUAAUAAUAGCACUUUUAAAUCAAUUUGGUUAUAGAUUUUAAAAUAAAUUAUACUCAUACUUGGAAGCAAAUUAAAAAAAGGUUAUAAGAUUGCUUGGUGUAUGAAUAAUUGAAAACCAUUUUUUGUUUUUGACAACAAUUGAAAGCCAUUAAGUUUGACCUUUUUAGGCACUUGCUUAAUCGCACGCGCAUUUGAAAACCACCAAAUAAAAUCAACCCCACUUUCUUAAUAUUAUUGUGACUGAUGACGGCUGUAACAUUCUGGUCUUGACCGUCCAGUCCAUUCACUUGAACACGCACAUAAUGCUUUGUUGCCGAUUCACUUAUUUUCAUUAAAACUCAUCAUAUAAAUGAUUUCCCCUCCUUUUUCCUUUACAUCUAAAAGUCUAUGUAGUUUUUCUAGAUGCUUAUGAGUUACGCAAAACGAUCCUCUCCCACACAAAAAAACAAUAAUAUUAAUAUAUGUUUUAAUGUCCAAGUGUUUGAUUAGUGCUGCAGUUUGUAAAUAUGUAAUAAAACUAAUCAGCUUAAUUUUCUGUUUAAACAAGAAGUUUUGUAUAGAAAGACGACUUGGAUUAUAUUUUUGUAAGAAUUCUGAAUUCCUGUCGUUUCAUUCCAUAACAAUAUGUGUUAAUAUGUUCGUGUAUUAUUGACUUGUUGCUUUAUAGUUAUUUAUUUAUUCCCAAGUCAGAUUAUAUUCGUUCGGAAAAUGAACGUGACUCGUAUAUGAGUUGACCUUAUGAAUAUUGUCUAAGGCCUUAUCCAUUAGAUUAAAAGUUCAUUAUACACUUAUUAUUUGUAUUUAGUUUGAUUAUCUCCAAGGCUACAUUAUGAGCUGUUAGCUAGUAUCCUAAGUUAUGAAUAGCUCCAGAAAGGCCUUAUCCUAAGCUAUAUGAACAUUGUGAGCUAAGCUGAACACUUGCUUAGAUGUAACUUGAUCUUGUAUGUUUUCUCUAAAAGACCAAUAGCCAUCUUGUAUGCUUAGUUGAAUUUGUAUUAGGAUCUCUUAGUUGUAAGAGAUCAUAUGUUCAUCAAAUGGUUCUAUCACUACCAUAAGUUCUCUGUAAGGCCUUGUUGUUCUUCUCGCUCUGCUUUCUGCAGCCUGGUUAGUUUCCACAGGAGGCUUAUGUUCUUUGAUAGCAAAGUGAAAACCGUCCAUCUCUUCAUAGUCAUUUGGUAUAUUUGAACUUGUGAGCCAGUAGGCACAUGAGCUUCUCAGCAAGAAGAAGCAUUCUCUUUUCUUUUUUUUUCUCUACUCACCAAUAACAGAUAUUAACUUCCUUCUAUUUACAACUUAAAAUGUUAUAGUCUAUCACAUAUUUUCCCUUUAAACAAAAGAGAGAGGAAUUAUAUAUGUAUAGUUUAUCUAUCAUAUGGGUUCUUAAAAGCAUCAGGUAAAAGCAGGUGAUUUGCAGAUAGGGCAAGAGUUCUUCAAAGACAGCCAUUUCUUUAUGCACCCUCCAUGGUAGUCAUGACCACACCCUUUAAGUUCCCCCAACUCUUCUCCUUCCUUGUAUUCCUCCUAAAUGUUACCGUUACCACACCACCAUUAGACUCUUGGCACAUUUAAAUCUUUGAGACAUGCGAAUCUUACCAGGCAGAUUGCACAUUUUCUUUCCUCAUCCGUUUGAUACAAUGGGUAGAAUAUCGUCUCCAACAAGCAAGUGGAGAUUGCGCCCUUGGAUAGACCAGUGUUAACACUCCCAAUCCUUUCAACAAGAUCAAGAAGGUCCUGGAUAGUGUCAACCAUUUCAAGAUACAUCAGUUGCGAGACAUUUUGUCUGGGGCUUAGAAAAACCAAGAGUUCUGUAAUUAACCUCGUAGGUCAUGUCAUCGAUGUCGAGCCUCAAUUCUCUGUGGUGAUCAUGCAUAUUCCUGGAUCCAUAGUGCUGUUGGUGAUCUACAGCCAUAAAUCCCUGUUUUUGUACAUCCACAACAAAAUAAUAGAAGAAAGUUCAGUCUGCAGCAGAAUAAGAAACAUGAGAGUCUAUGUAGGCAAGUUUCUGAAGUGUUGGUCCCAUCAGUUUAUUGGCAAGUUUGGUAGGGAAAAAAAUUACUACACCUGAGAUGAAAAUGGUUCAUGGAGAGCAACUUCAUCGAAAGGAGGCUGAAACCUCUCAUAGGAACUCCUGCGUCUCCCUGGGCGAUCACUGCUACGCCAUGAGAUGUGUGGUGGUGGCCUCAGAUGCCUAGAAGGAUAUGUCUCAGUGACAAAAGGAGACCUAUCUCCAGAAGAAGAUGCUGAAUGUUCCAAUCGCAAACCGUUUGAAGAAGAUCUAUAGGUGGGUGUUGACCUAUGAGAGAAGCGGGAGCUAGUUGCAGAUUGUGUUGAAGUUCCAGGAAAACCGUGGGAAACUGUAGAGUUUCUGUUUCCGAUUAGCCCUUGGUGAUACCAAGAGGUAUCAACAGAUGUGCUGUUGGCGACACUUCUCGUGGGAAGAAAAUUAUUUGUCUUUGGACUAAAGCCAUUUAAAUCUGCAGGGUGAGAAUUCAUGUGGUUAAAGAACGUAGUCAGUAAAAAUUUGAAUCUCAAGAGAGACCAAAGUGAAAUUUGCAUACCUCUAGGUACUGGGGAGUGUCUAGGAAAGUUCCAGUUCCAGUCCUUAUUCCUGUGAGAUGUUUGACCAGGAAACUGACCUGAGCUAGAGUGAUCAACAUUGUGAUGUGUAGGAUGAGAAUCAAGGUCCAAGCUUCUUGAAAAAAUAUUUCUAUCUACACUAGUCUCUAAAUCAAGUGUAGGACGACUCCGGACAUUCCUUGAAGAACUCUCUCCCCUGAUCGAGAGAUUAUUACUUCUGUAACUUGGGUUCAUGAGCCACGGCAUGUAAUGAGGACCAUGAUCACGAGUUGUUGAUUUUCCCAUGUCCAACUCCGAGGAGAAAGGGAUAUCUGAGGAAGUUCUGCCACCGUGGUAAUGGCUUGAACUACCCAUUUCAUAGACGGAAGAAUCGCAUGGGGUUUUCCGCUUCUGUGCUCCUCUCACAUUUUCCAUAUGUAGAUCAACAUAGCCAUCCAAUGACCAUGUCUGACUGUUGCAGUACGAAGAAGAUGCAGAUGUCACAUAAUGUUCAAGUGGAGCAGAGAAAGUUGCAGCUGCUGAACUCAUGACAGGAACAUGGGUGGGGCCGCUAGUCCCUGGAUUGUAGUGUAGCCUCUCUACACCAUGACCUGAAGCAGUAUACGCAUUUGGUCCUGUAGAAGAGUUCCAGUGCGAAGAAAAUGGCAUUCCUUCAUUCAACACGUUUCCUGCUGGAUUAACAUGCGAUCUGCUCUCACUGGUCCCAGUUCUUGCUGAGAUAACAUAGAGCGAACAAUAAUACGAAUCAGAAAUUCCGGACACGAUUGCACAGGAAAAAGUAGAAUUAUGUAUGUGAUGAUUAUAAAAUGUGGCUUCCUAAUUUUCACUACCUGAGGGUAUCACCUAUCAAGAUUCAUUUUUGCCCCUACUGAAACCCAAUCUACCCAUGAGGGAGAAACUUCUCAACCUAAAAAUACGCAUGCAACAUCAACGCAAUAGCUCUUACACAGGUUGAGUAUAACAUCUAUCCAUGAAGAACGUGUUAAAAAUAUUGAUUUCAACCACAGAAUAAGGAUCUCUAUAGGAAUGGAGAACUAAUUACCUAAACUCGUAUAUGGGUGCUCUGGGUGUAUAUGGUUCCAGCCUUGAUCCUGUUCAUCAUCGAAAAAUUGGAAAGAGCCAGGAAAAUGUCUGUGCCCCAUGAUUACACAAAUCUUCAACCUUGGAGUCCAGCUAACCCUGCACAGAAAGUUCUCUCAACAUUCAGAACUCAUCCAGAAAAAAAUUUGCAAGUCCAUAAAAAUAGUUCUUAAUUACUAAGCAAUCUCAGUUUCAAUUCAAGAAUGGUAUAUAAAGUAACAUCUGCUUUAGCUCAGAAGUACCAAAUGGUUGCUGAAAACGAGUCACCCAUCUAUUUUCAGUUUUAUAGUCACAUUUCAAGACCAAAACUCCAAUUUUUGCAACUGAAGAACCUUAACCAUCGCCAAGUUAAGAAACAAAGUUUCUUCAACCCCACACAUGAGCAUACUCAAGCUGUAAGAAACGAUUUAGAAUAUGCAUAGAGAACACUACACAGUAUUAGGACGGACAUCAACUUCAGGUAUAAAGGAAACUGACAAUGGUAUAUUGAUAGAGAUUCUUUAUCAGAAGAGAGUCCAUAGUUUCAAUACCUAGUAUCAAUAUAGUUGAAAUAUCUAGUCUCAGUUACCUUUGUCACCCGUAUCUAACAUACUAUACCCUCAGAGCUCAGCUCAUGAUAUCAUAAAAACAAGUUUUCGAAGAGUUGGACUGGAAAGUUCCUGAUGCCUUAAGAUGGGAAUAACCUUAACUAGUACAUAUCUAUCAGCUCAUAAGGGUAUCUUGCAAUCAAGAGUUAAUAAAUAAAACAGAAACCUACAUUUUCUCUUUGUGUAAGCCAAAAGAAAAUAAGAGACACAAAACAAGCAAGAGUGUUCUCUAGUACAUUGGCAUAAGAAGUUCAUUUAAACAAGACAUUUACUCAGGUUUAAGAACUUCAUAAAUUUUACAGAAACAGUCCACCGAGAAUAAGGCAAGAAAGAACAGAUACAGAACAGAUAACAUUUGAUAUGACCAUUUCAGCUUCUAUCAACACAUACAGAACAGAUGCAUACUGCUGGCAUGAUCAAGAAAAUUACAUGGAUGAUUCAACAGCAGGAAAUAAGUUUAAUUUUCUGAGCCAAAACCCUCCAACAAUACUACUGCAGGCAAAUUAAACUCCCAACCAAGAAUACACUAAACUACACAAGUGAAAAAGCCAUCAUCCUUUCCUGAUCAACUGAUUCACCAUUUCCACACACCAAAUGUAAUUUCUUCUCUUCAAGUUCAGAAUCAUAACGGGCUUAGUCCACAGAGUGCUGGCCAGCAAAGGCUUACCACCACAUUCUACUAUUCUGAAGCUUUUACUUAGUCAAAACCUGCCAUCCGGCCCAGCACACCUAGAUCUACUCCAAGAGCUAGUAAGCAGAAAUGGGUUGUGUGAAAGGAUGCUUCUAAGCAAUUUGCUUUAUGCUUCAUAGGAUGGUUGUCAUUUCGCAAGAAAUAUUGAAGUUUUUACCUUAAUUCACACUUCAAGCAUCACUGACUAAUUAACACAUUCAGUUAUGAACGUGGAAUCAAAAGAAGGGUGGUGGAAGAACUGGACCAGACAAACUUCACAAAGCCUUGACUACCAUAAACAUAGUUAUCAGCCAUAAAACGUAAAUGAGUAAAAAACUAACCACGCUAAUAGAGUUUGGUUGACUUAUCUUACUUCAAGUUCACGUUGGUUUCUCAAUCAACCAACAAUCUGCCAAAAUAGAAGGAAAACGGCAGCCACCGAUUCUAUGUAUUACAAAGGCUUAGCAUAAGGCACUAACAUCUGCUGACAAAAGUGUUAGAAUAAUACAUUUUCUCUGCUACAAUUUCAAAUUUUCUAUUAUAUUUUUGAGAAAAAAACCAAAAUAGCACUAAAUCAAGUUUUUGUUCCCAAACUAGCACUCAAGGCCAAAAGUCACAAAAAUAGCACUCAAGAGAUGGGGUUUAGGGUUUAGGGUUUAAAGUUUAAGUUUUAGGGUUUAGAGUUGAGAAGUGAGAUUUUGGAGAUAAGAUUUCAAAUUUUGAAAAAUAAAAAAGUUUAAAUUUUUCAAAAGAUAAAAUGCUAUUUUGGUCAUUUAGUUUUUGAGUGCUAUUUUUGUGAUAUAAACUUAGAAAAGUACUAUUUUGGAGAUUUGCCUUAUAUUUUUUCGAUUUUUUUUUUUUUGAUUAUACAAAGUUUCCCUAAAGGCUUCCUAAGGGACUAAUCUGUGUAGCUGCAACCCGAAUGUGAAAUCCGCAGUGGCCGGGAAUCGAACCCAGGUGGCGGUACUCACAGCUGUGAGCCUCUGUGAGCUAAACGCCCCGGUUUAUUUUUUCGAUAUUACUAAAGAGGAAGACGUAUUUGCUGACCUUAAACUAUAUGGACGUUACUAGUUCAAGACUGAGAGAAACCAUCGUUGCCACUAAACCUGCUGGAUACAAAGCCUAGCUAGUUUGAUGCUAAAUAGGAAACUGCUCAAACUAGCUCUAUAUAGCUUAGCCCCGUCGCUGAAGUAGCCUGAACUAAUCACCGAUCUGGUCUCCUCUUCUUCUCAGCAUCCGAAUCUCUAACUACGAUUCAAACAAUCCAAUCACGAAAAGUCACUCAUGUAGCAGACGGAAGCAAACAAUCAUCACGCAAAAGGAAAACAGAUGAUCCGUCGUAACAGCGUUUAAACAAAUCAUUGGUGAAACUGCAAUCGAUUUGAGCAUAUAUAUACAUAUUUACACGAAAACCUCAGAGCUCAAACGAUGAUCGGAGAAGAGAGAAACGUACCGCUAGCAGCGUGCGGAUGAUGGAGAAAGGAGAACGAUCGGAGGAUUCAAAGAGACGACGAACGGAUUCGUAGAGAUGACUCAGCUUGAGGAUUGUGAUCGGUUGAUAUAUUUAAGAGAGAAAGCAAAUGAAAAAAUGAUAAAACAAAACAAUUUAAUUUAAAAGCGAUUGGGUGGGUACGUUGCUGGAAAAUUUAGACCACCACAGCAUCACCGGCUGAUUAAUGGGCGUAGAUUAAUGGGCCUAUAUUUUGACUUUAUAUGGGCCUCCACUGGAUCAGCAACUAUCCCUUCUUCUUUUUUUGUCACCAGCAACUAUAGCAUUGUUCACAUAGUGCAUUAUGUUGCAUCUGACAGAUUAUGAGCAUAUAAUCCUUGAAUCUGCUUUGUAGAAAGCUCUUAGAAAUUUAAUUUUUCCAUUGUCUUUGCACGUGCUGUGAAAUUUUGUGUUAAUUACGCAUAAAGUUUGAUUCGUUAGAUUUAGUCCAAAGUAAACAAUAUGGAUACAUAGUCCACAAUCCCCCUAAAAUGGUUAUUUCUCAGAUUUUGACAGUCUUAAUUUGAAGACAAUUUGGAAGAUGAAGUUGCAGUGAAACACGCAAGCAUUGCAUUGCUUUUUUCUCUUUCUAAAACCAAUGGAAGUACAAGGAAGUGGAGGUGAAUCAAUAACAAUAAACCGUGUGCAUUGCCGAGAUUAUAUAGUUUGUGAUUAUACCAUUUUAAUACAGAGAAGCUGCAAAUACCAAAUUAAACCAACGCAGGUUUGAGGUUCCUACGUCAAGUUCAACCAUUUCAUUUCUAGUGUAAUUUCUCUAUUCAAAACAACUAUAGAAAGGUCCACUAGACAUGGCAGACGAAACAAUACCCCAAUAACAUUGUGGCAUUACGAAAGUAGCAAAGCAAAGCAUAAGAUAAAAUAAAAGCGGCAUUAUAACAAACCAAAACAGACUUGUUCUUGUUCUUAACCGAAACAUAAAAGCUAAAACCUCAAAAGUGAAAAUAACCGAACAAAACACUUAAUCUCAAAUUCCCUUUUUUUUUUAAAUUAAUUAAUUCUCAGGAAUCUCAACCUCACCCUCUUGAAUCUCCUGCUGGAUAUCCUUGGAAUCUCCUGCUGAAUAUCCUUGGGAUCUUUCCCAUCCACAGUACACCCAACAGACACACACGUCCCAAGAAUCUCCCUCACGGUCCCGCUCAGCUCCUUCGCAAUAGACCUCGGCCUCAUGAUCCUCGCGAUCUCAAUCACGUCAUCGAACGAAAUGUUCCCGUUGUGCUUAAUGUUCUUCACCUUCUUCCUGUCCCUCUCCGGCUCCUUCAAGGCCUUGAUCACCAGCGCCGCCGCCGAAGGCACCACCGUCACUUUCGCCUGGCGAUUCUGCACCGUCAGCUUCACCGUGACGCGGAGCCCCUUCCACUCCUUGGCCGUCUCCUUGGCGAUGUCUUCUCCGAUCUUUUUGGGAGCCAGACCGAGGGGACCGAUCUUGGGAGCGAGGGAACUCGCGGCUCCGACUUCUCCGCCGGUCACGCGGACGUAGACGUCCACGAUCUGGCUCGGGUCAAGCUUCGGCGGCAUGGCUGUCUCGGUGGUUAAACGGAGUUUGAUUAGUUUUUUUUUUAAGUGGAGUCCGGAGACGAGGAGGCGGUUGAAGACGAGCUCCAAAGGCUUUUAUUGAGGUCGACACUAGGGUUUACGAAAUGAUGAAUUUACUACCCUUGUAAACAUAUAUGGGCCUUAAGAGAAUGAUCUUAUGGGCUUUAUUUUAGACUAUCGGUUCUUUUACGGUUUAGUAAAUAAUAAAUCCCCGGUUUGAUAGAACCGGUUUACUUCCGUCGCCUCUUUGCUCGGUGAGAAUUGCCUAAAAUAUUUCCUCAGUUUCGGAAAGAAGUAUAUUUUAGUUACCAAUAUAAUUUUAAUAAAUAAAAUUAUGUUUUUUUACUGUUUACGAUUAAUUUAUGCAUUGAAACCGUAAAAAUGUAUUUUUCUUGAAACGGAAUUUUUUUCUAAAAUAUGGAAUUUUUUGAAACGCAUGGCUUUUAUUAUACUAAAAUAGUGAAAGUGACGUCACUUCGUUUAACCGAUAUGAUCAACAACAGAAGCAUAUAGUUUUGACAAUAUACUGGGAAACAUUUACUUUUUGGAACUUUCUGUUAUCUUAUGUGUGUUAUUUAAUUAGUGGGUGGCUAAGGACCAGAAGUUGAGAAAGAAGGAAGGGAACACAGCAAGCCAGCUGAUGAAUGCCAUUGCUGUGGCGGUCUGGAACCUUGUGCAGUGGCUGCCAUCACAUUUAUCAAGAUCGUUGAUGAGUACGGUUAUGCCAGCAGACGCAGAUGCAGCUGCAAACGUAAGUAGGCAUGUGAUCUGCAAGGGAUGAAAAUAGACAAAACAGUCACUUUGUUGCCUUCUUAGAAACUAACUUUAAACAAUAAAGAGAGAUGUUGAUUUCGUUCUUACUCCAUCUCCAACUGUGAAACAUCGAACAACCAAGUGAUUCCGAAGGCUUCUUCCCACCAGAAGAGCAUAAGCAUCGAUGAUAAAAAGAGACAAGCUCCACAGGCUUUGCAAGCUAACCGCAAAAACCAAACCACUGUCACAGUUUAUAGAUAUGUUUUGUCAGAUUCAUAUUUUUCCGUAAACCUUAGGUCUAAGAGUUGGAUUUUACUAGAAUGCGGUGAAGGAGUGGAAGUCGGGGGUGGUGAGCAUGACGGAGAGGGAGAUGAGAGAGGAGACGAACUGAGAGAGGCGGAGGAUGAGGCCGCCGGUGGUUCCUGGCAUGCCCUGAAUAUCUUUCAUCCUCACUGGCGGUCUAUCGUUGGCUCCGCCAGUAGGACCCACGGGGACAGCAAUUACCGGACGAACCGCCGGUCGGCUCACGUUCAUCAUGUGAAAGUGAGUCACUCUGAUAACACACACACAAAUGAGGAACUAACUCGACUGAGUUUGCUAAACUAAUUUCCUAAAGACAAAGACUUAUUCAACUAACUGAAUCUCUAACACAUGUAGGACUUUCGAACGUUUACCGCAAAAGUUCAAACAGACCCACCUUGUAAGACACGAAACUGCUACUUUGGCUGUCUGAAAAAUGGAAUUAGUGUGGAUUUUUUUUUUGGUCCACGAGUUAAUUAGUUAAUGUGAUGUGUUUUGACAGAAUCGACCCAAAACAUAGUAUUUAAUGUUCCUAACUUUUGAUAUCUAUUGACUUAGAGUAACCGACUUUGAAAGUUAGUAUAAAACAACUGUAGAAACUUUUAAUGUGGCUUACUAGAUUUUUGGUGCUAUUCUAAAGUAUUUAUGUUUUUAUAUUAUUUAUUUCAAAUAUGUUAGACAUAAUAUUAUAACUUAUUAGUACUAUUUUCGACAGUUUAUGUUAUUACUUUUGAAACAGAUUAUAUUUAAAUUAGUAGUAUAUAUUAAGCUAGAAAAACACUCGAAAUUUAUUUGAACACUUAAAAUAAAACUAUAUUUUUUGUUUCUUAUUCUUUUCCUGUGUUUAUUUGUGUUGUAGUAUUGAUAAUUGACUAAAUAAAUACAAACAAGAAAAUGUGAAACUUUUGUUGGUUACAGAACAGAGUUGAUGAUCUUACAGAGAAUUAAAGACAUUUAGUUUGGGGUUAAAAAGACAGUUCUAAUCAUUUACAACAAAGAACUUCCACCGAACUGGAAAUUGUUUUUACUUUACCCCAACUAAUCGGGAUCUAUUCCUUCCAUUUUUAGUAAGAUUAAUAAAAUCGUGAAAAUCUGACAUUUUCAUAUCUAUAUAUAAAAUCUUUAAAUAGUUAUCUAGAUAUAUUUAAAGUUAUCUAGAUUUUUUUUUUUUGAAAAAGUUAUCUAGAUAUAUUAGAUCUUGAUAAUAAUCAUUCUCCAGCCCUUUCCAUCUCCCAGCAGAGCUUAGACGCAACACUUUCAUGGGAAGGUGCAUAUUCCUGCAAAAUGACAACAACAACGUUUGAGAUUAUGUAGAGACCCAGAAACAAUUCAUUUUCUUCAAUUUACCUCAAGCUUCUUCACAAGCUCUUUAGCAGUAGGUUCAGAGACUAUGAUCUCACGAGCAGUCGGGCUGAUGAAUCCUUCUUCAACGGCUUUAUCGAUGAAUGAAAGCAGCGAGUUGUAGUAUCCAUCAACGUUGAGUAAACCCACCUGCAGAAAGUUUGUUUUAGUGAUUUUGGAUUCUUGAAUUUUUCCAUUUGAAGUAAGAAUAUUAGGGAGGUUUUUUUUUACAGGCUUGUCAUGAAUUCCAAGCUGAGCCCAAGUUAUGACCUCAAGCAAUUCUUCAAGUGUUCCAUAGCCUCCUACAAUUAUCGCACAAAAUUUUAGAUUUGAUUUGUCAAAAGAGAGCAGGUUAAUCUGUUACUAUGAUAUGGUCAAAUCAGUAGGUGUGUCAUGUACAAUACAAAACCAAAUAAUAGAGUCCUCUCCUCUCUGUUACUGUUUUGUACAUUGGUACUGACUAUGAUUACAAAAGCAGGAUCUUGACUUUCCAUUAAUGAUUUCAGAUUAAGUGUGGGCCAAAAAAUGCCAUUUGUGGGACUGUUUCAAGUUUUGUCUCUUAACUUGAAAAGGGCAAAGAAAAAAAGUUUGGUCAGAGUAAGACUACACAAGCUAUAGAGAGAGUACCCCCUAAGUUAAAAACAAAGCAGAGCAAUAACCAGAGUAAAAGAAAAGGAAAAAGGUAUAAUUCUAAGUGCCAGAUGUUGAUGGUUAAGGCCUUUUAUCUUACACUCUGGUGACUUUAAAUAUUUAGAUUUUUUUCAUUUCAAAGAAUAAUUAAAAAUAAAAAACUUUUCACAGCAGCUUUCACACUGCAGCUUGACCAAAACAUAAUGUUUUUUUUUGUGUAACUAAGAAAUCAUGUUUUUACCAAACUCUUUUCUUCUCUUUUUUUACAAAAUCAGUCCAGAAAAACAAACUUUUUCCUUUACAUGAACAAACCCUACUUUGAAACUUUGAUUACCCAUUCAAAUUGUUUUAAGAGGCUAUUCUUAAAAUUCUUUGCGUCACUAGGGUUUUGACAAGUUUUCGUAUGUUAUCAUUACUUACAUUGAAAGAACAGCAAAAUUUUGAGGUUUAGAAAUGUUUUUUGAGAAAGAAAACAUUUGAUUGAAAAUUUGGGUGGAUUGGGUUUAAAACAAAACCUGGUAAGGCAAUAAAAGCAUCAGAGUGCUUGGCCAUUUCAGCUUUCCUUUGGUGCAUAUCUGCAACUGCUCUUACUUCUCCUACUGUUUCACCAGUCAACUGCAAAAAACAAUGAUCAUCCACCAUUUUAAAAUAAAUAAAAGGAUGUUAAUUAAAAGUAGUUAAAGGGCAAAAGCAACUUUGGGCUCUUCUACAGGCAAACGCAAUGAUGUCACCGCAAGUAGUCGUAAUGUUUGGAUGUUUUUGAAAUCUCCUACAGAACCCUAACAUCUAGUUAACCUCUUUCUAAUCAUUUUCUUCAUAUAUCUUUUAUUCAGAUUACGGUAACCAAAUGAGGAUAUUUAUAUUUUAGGACACCUAAACUACUCGCAAUCAUGAGAUUUAAGAAAAGGUAACAAACAGGGAGAAGAGUAAAACCUAAGCAAACACCGAAGAUUAAAAUGGUUUUGAAUGGGAAUUUGGAGAACUUAAAAGAGAAAUUAAAUUAACAAAGAACAAUGUUUUAUUUUGAAAUUUUCUUCUUUGAAAAGUUCAUACCUCUCUAGGCAUGAGGGUCUUUGGAAUUAUUCUGCAGAGUGACAACAAAAGGACAAAGUUGGGUUUUAUUAGAAAUAUUCAGCAAUAUAAUCCAACACUUGUGUUCCAUCAGAAUCUCAAAAGACAGUUUUCUUUUGUAUGAUCUGAAGCUUACAAAGUUGUCAAAUAGUUUAAAGUUAUUUGACUAAGAAAAAGUUACCCAAUAACAUGACGACCACCAUUAUGAACAGCUUGUGAAACCAAACCCAUCAAGCCUAUGCUCCCACCUCCAUAGACUAGAUCAAUUUUCCUUGAGACCUGCAGAACAAAAAAAAAAACAGAGUUACACUUUUUUUUUUUUUUUUGUCACAAAAACAGAGUUACACAUUAGCCUAAACUUGAUGAUAAGUAGAGCAAAAAUCGUGUAACAAACCAGAACCAGAAUAUUCUGAAGUUAUACCAUCUGGCACGUUUCAAAGAAGAAAUAAAUGAAGCAAAGAUGCACAUCAUCUUAUCUCAAAACCAACCAGCAUAAUCAAAGACAUAAAUACGUUAAAAGUCAUGUAUGUGUUACCAGUUCGUUGCCGAGAUCUACAGCAGCAUCUUGGUAACUACUCUUCUUGCCUUGGCUGCUUCCACAGAAGACACAUAUUCUUUUGAACUUUGACUUUUGCAUCGUUUCAGCUUUGAUCUCCAUUGAAUAUGAUCCUAAACUUAUGAUAAAAUAUAAAACUUCUCCAGAAAGAGAAAAGGUAAACAAUUUUAAGGUUUCUUUCAGCACAAGAAUCUAAUUUCGCAAGACAGUUAUGAGUGACAAAGAAACCUAACUAAAUCUGAAAAAAUAAUUUAUUUUGGGAGUUGUUUUUAUCCUCACCACUAAUGUUUCCUGGCUCAAGGGUUGUUGUUAUAUAUAUAGUGCGUCAUCGAUUUAAGCUUACUUAUUUUAAAUUACAUUCUUUUUGAUGUUUACUAAAGCUAGCAGCCUAGCACAACAUUUAAUAAUACAAAUUUAGAAAAAAAAAUAGAAGGCUUUCGUUAAAAAGUUUAUUUUUUUGUUUGUUUGAAUACUUCAUUUCUGUUUUAUUCCCCAUAAAAAAAAUAUUUUUGACCAAAAUCUUAUAAAUCGUUGAUUUGAAUAUUUAAUAAAAAUCGAUAUUUUUUAGAUUUAUGUUGAGGUCUUUACACGGGAGAAAUUAAAGCACGCGUCUUUCACUACCCGCGCGGCACGCGUGACCGAAUUCUUCUUUGUGUUAAUUUUCCCUUACUAUAAAAUCACGUACAACAAUGAUAGACUAGUACCAUAAACCUUAUUUAUGGUCGUAAAUAACAAUUUUUUUUGUUACUUGAGAGGAAUUUGGAUCAAACCGUAAUCUCCGCUUAAACCUGAAACCAUGUGUCCAUGCAUUGAUAAUAGUUUAUGACAUGGCGUAGAACAUUUCUUUCCAUAUAAAUGACAAUUCUUCGUAAUGGACUUUAUGGUUAGACUCACAAUCACCCAACUAGAUAGAAAUGCCAUGUUAAUGCAGGCUAUAUCUCACAAGGAAUUAUUAUCAGUUGUGUUCUUUGUUGUUAAAGAUCAUAUAUAUCGUGUUUAGACUUCAUAACCCCCUCUUAUGAUUUCGUAAAGAAAGCUCUCAGUGAUUAAAAAAAAACUGAUUCAGUAAAGCUUCGUCAUUUUUCGUUCUUAAUCAAGAAUAGGAAAAAUAAUUAAUUUUCUAUAUAAAAAUAAGAAAAAUGGACAGCAUAUGUGGACAGUGUAAGAUGGGUACAAACGUUAUUAACUGAUACUCUUGAAAAACAAAUAGAGAAAGGGAAAAUAAAUAACCAAAAAUAACCAAGACAAAGGCCACACUAAUAUUCUAAUGGAACCAUGUAGAUGUCAUGGAUAAACCAAUGAGAUAUAUACACACUCACUUAUCUAAAGAGAUAUAUAGAAUGAAUAAGUUAAUGAGAUGAUGAUGUCUGGGAUAUGGAGCAAUGUGCCAUUGAUGAUUGACAUAAGAAAACAAAGUGAUGGCUUAUGUUACCAGUGUAGCCUAAUUCACCCUCCCUAUGUAGACAACCUUCUUCUUGUUCUUUGCAUAGAAAACGUUUCUUCUAUUUUUAUUCCCCUAUAUUCAUUUUCACCAUCCUAAGCUAUAGUAUGGAGUUGUGAUAUAAAAUUCUUUUAAUUUUUUUAGACUAUUAUUUUUGUCUUUCUCUUUCAGAAUAAAGUAAUCAUUAAAUCAUCGUUGAAUUAUUUAAAGUUAUGAAUUCAGAAACAUAUGCAAAUUAUCGCCUUGUGAAAGAAUGAAAAAUAAAAUUUCUUGUUACACUUCCCAUUUCAGGAGAACCUUUUAUAUAAUCUUGAUUUAUUGAAAAAUCAAAAAUUUAAAACCGAAAGCUGAGAGCUAAAACUAAUAAGAAAAAAAAAACACUAGUUUCGUUAAGACUCUAUCGUAACCCUAUUGACAUGUUGGCUUGGAAUACCAGGAACCUCCCCAACACUCUUAUACUUAACUGUAAGCAAACACUUACAAUAUACUUCAGAUCAUAUAUAUUUGUUUAUAACAUGUGUAUAUAGCGUAUGAGUAUUUAAAUAAGAAAAUAAAAUAAUUACAAUCCCAAGAUCUGAGUAGAUGCAACCCAUUCCUUCUAUAAACAAAUAAGUAAGUUUGUAAAAUAGUUUGUAUUAGUAUAUCUGCAUGCUUGCAUGCGCAUUUUUCUCUUGUUUUUCUUUUUCAUCUCUAGUUUCACUUCACAUUCUUCUUGGGUUUUUCACUUCCGACCCAAUUUUUAUUUUAUUAUAAUAACCAUGACGAUGGUAGUGAUACCACAAUUUAAUCAGAUAAUACUUUCAUGCAGUCCAAUUUGAAAGUGUUAAAUAUUUGAAAAUGAGCACAAGAGGUUUUAUAACUCGAAUCUUUUUAUAGUCUGUACAGAAAAAAAAAACAAAAAGACAAUUUUAAAGGUGGACGUUUGAAGAACAAAUUAUCCUUUUUACAAAAGGUUAAUAUCUGUCUCCAAUCGAUUUUGACAUGAUUUCAAAGACAUAUAGUGACAUAGCAUUAACGAACAUCUAACGGAAUCCUAAAUCACUUUAACUAAAAGAAGUUCAUAAAGAAAGAAAAAGUAUUAAGUUAGUCAUACAACUAGUUCAUUCUGUUCAUAAAGGGGUUCUAAGUAUUUAUAAAUAUCAAUUUUUCUUGGAGUGGUUCUCAACCUUUUCAAACAGGUCAACAUUUUUUACUUCCUUUUAUAAAAGGUUUUUGUUAAAUUAAGAAAAGUUCUUUCGAAAGAUGAAACUUGAAUCCUUUAUAUAUUUACUUAUCAGUUAAAGAAGUUCAUUCAUAUUAGACCCAAUACAAUUUUGUUCAUAAAGGGGUUCUAAUUAAGUAUUUAUAAUUAUCAAUUUCUAUGCAGACAUAGGAAAGGCUCCGCGCUUUCUAAUAAAUAUAUAUAUGGGUUAUUAUAUAUCCAUGCCUGACAAAAAGAAAAUGCUUAAUUUGAUUUAAUUUAAGAUUAAGGAGAUGAAGAUGAAAAAAUUAUUAACCCAUAUUAUUUUUUCAUUUAAGCUCUGGCUGUAAAAAAGCUGAACAACUUUUACCAUAUUAUUUUUUUCCGAAGUAUAUUAAAAAGAAGACAAUAUAUUUAUUCACUGUUUUAGGUUUUGUUCCAAGCUAUCACCACUAUUUUGUCAGUAGUACCAUAGAUUCAUGAUUAAAAAUGACUCAAAACCUUUCUUAAUAAAUAAAUUUUAAACCUUAAAUGAAAAACUUAAGCCAAACAUAGUAUCUCAAUAUUGUCUAUAAUUUCUUAAAAUAAAGGAUAAUAUCCUCACACAGUUUUUUGUAGUAGUGUUAAAAAGAACAGUAAUAGUAUAUUCGGAAUAAAAACCUUUUAAAUAUAGCAUCUACGGUAUUUUUUUAGCUUUUAUGAACUAUUUUAAUGAUUUAUUCUUGUUUUUGUUGUUGGUAAACAAAUAUUUUGAGAUGAUUUGUGUAUUGGAUGCAAACGGCAUAUUUAAAUUAAGGAAAUGCUAAUUGGGAGGCAGGAUAAAAUUCUUAUUAAUGUCCAUCGAAUUUUUUUUAUUAAAAAUGUUUGAAUAUGUAAUGUGCAUUGGAGUUAACUAUGACAUAUUCUUAUUACGGGUUGGUUUUGUCGUUGAAACAAACAAGAACGUUAUAUUAAGUUCAAAAAACAAACAAGAUGUUAUGGAGUCACACAACACUAUUUCGUACAGAAAUGAUACCUCUAGUUUUUAAAUGUAAUUUUUUUCCUACAAUUUUGACAUCUUUUAAAAGGAUAGUCCACGUAUGAGACUAUGUUAUGAUUGCAUGGGUAAAUACUUUAAUGUACAAGACGUGAAACUUAAUGCAAAACUAUCAAUAAAGGUCGAUAUGAUUCUUUAAACCAAAAAAAGUUCGAUAUGAUUCCGACAAUAUUUUAGAUUUAUGACUUUGAAACCCAAAAGGAACAGACAUUUACCACUUUGAACCGAAAAUAGAACCCCCAAACUUGUUUUUUUCCUCAACGGACCAACGUUAAAUCCACAAAUUAAGGAAUUGAAGAAAAGAGGAGACAAAAAAACAAGAAAGGAAAAGGGAAGAACAUGGAUUUGUAAAUGGUGAAAAGAGGGACAGUCAAAGGUCAGAGAGGGACAAAUCAUUUGUUUAGUAGUUAUCAUAAAGUGUCGGACAGUUAAUACCGUUACUUACGAGUCAAAUGUCUCUAUUACGUUUUCACUUAUCACUAGUUAGUGGUAACUUACUUAAAUUACUUUUUCAAAAAAAAAAAAACUUACUUAAAUUACCCUCCCAUCAAUCGAUUUAUAUUUUCAAAAUUUCUGUAUUGUGAAAAAGCCAUGCAUUGUUGACGCAAUUUUUUGUUGUUGUUACUUGUCAACUAUUGAUACGUACUACUAACCAUGUUAUGUAUACAAUGCAUCUUUACAUAAACCUCUUUCAGUAGACUAAAUUCACAUUCAAAUCUUUUGAGUUAAACAUGUUUAAAUUGGAAAAUAUUGAGAAAUAAUAACAAUAAAUAUUUAUUGCCCUUUUCAAAAAUAAAAAUAAAGAUUUAUGGUUUUUAGUAAUUACUUGAACUAAAUUUGUUAAAACUUACAUAUACUUACUACUUAGGCAGAUAAAUGACAACUUUUAAAACAGUUAAAGGACAACUUUACGUAUACAGCAUGUAUGUAAGGAGUUUAUGAAGACAAAAGGAGGAAAGAAUCUAACUUAUAGCAAGAAGAGUGGUGAACGUAAGAUGGAGAGAGUGAACAGUCAAAAUACAUUCAUUCAUUCCUUUGUUUUUUUUUCUCUUUUAGAAAUUAAAAUUUAUGUCGUUUGUUUUUGGGACAUUACCUACGUUCAUUUCAACUCUUUCAACCUUUCGGUCAUCUCUAUACGAAUAUACCCCCAUUUGUUUUACAUUUUUAUUUUCUUUUAAAAUUUAUGAAGUUACAUUGGCGCCUACAAUUCAAAAGAUUUAGUUUGACUGGUUUACACCAUGUGAAUCCCAUAGGAUAAAUUAUAAAUAAUUCAUAUGGUUUCUGACGUAUGCGUUAUACAUACCUAUAUUGCAUGUUAAAUAAUGCCCUUUUCUGAGAUGGUGAAUAGAUAGAUAUGUCGAAUUUUUAGUAUAUGAAGUUGAAAUUAUAAGAAAUAUCCUAAAAGUAUUUGCAUCGACAUUCAUUUGCUAAGGAAAAAGGUUAAAAAUGUCUUCAAAAAAGGGUAAUGGACGUUUAAUAUAGGAUUAAGUAGCAAAGGAGCAAACAUGGAACAUGUUCAUCUCCUAUGAAUGAGGUGAAUAAGUCAAAAAAAGAAGAAGAAUAAGUCAAAGUAGGUCUAGUUGCUGGACCGGUUCUAAGGACAACCGGAUAAAAAUCCAUCUUAAUCCCAAUUUUUUUUAAAACUAAGAACUAUUAUACGUAGACCACAUGGUCCAUAUACUAUCCAUAACUUUUUAGUAAGAUAAACCUGAUAAUGUUUGCCAAAGCUCCUUUAGAUUAAUGUUUGACAAAGUGGUCACUAAUGGUUAUACAUCAUGAAGUCUAAGUUCUGAAUCUUAUAGAAGGCAAAAUUGUGCUGGAGAUUUUUUUUAUAAAAGAUGGAGCAAAAAAUACCAUAAAACGUAGAUCUUAUAAGUCGGUUCAAAGUGAUGCAGUAAAAUGUAAAUUCUUAUAAAAAAUAGAAUCAUCAAUUAUAUAAUCGUUAUAAUAUUUUCAUGGUUUGCAAUAGCAUAGCUAUUCAACGUUAAGAAAAACCAAAUAAUGUUUUUUGGCCAUAAAUUUUCGAUCCGGCUUUGUUGCGCUGUCCACGUACAAAACUAUGGCAUAUAUAAUUCACGAGGUUUGAAAUAGUGUUCCUUUUAUUUGUUUAGUUAGUUCUCAAUAUUUUUCUUUCAAAUGAAUGACAAGAGAAAUCGUAUGAGACGAAUAUGAGAGAUAGGUUAAGAAUCAGGAUGUUUUCGUUCACAGUAUAUAUAAGAAAUUAUUAUAAGAGAUUGUAGCUUAUGGAACAACAUUAAGGGUAUGACUGGUUUCCUCGCUGCCACACGCAUGCGGUUGGUAGCGGUUAUUGGCGUUUUGCAACAAUCACUCAAACCGCUCUAAAUCGUUUCAAACCUCAUAAACUCAAAACUGGCUUCAGCUAGCGUUUGCGGUUACGGGAGGAUAAUUUUUUUCAAAACAAUAUAAACAUAAAAAUAAAAAAUUCAAUAAAAAUUUUAAAUUGGAAUUAUAAAAAUACUAAAAUAUAUCUAUUUUAUAUUUUAAUUAAUAUUAUAAAAUUUAACUUUUAAAAUAUAAUUUUUAUAUUUAUUAUAAUAUUAUAAUUUUUUAUAUUUUUAUAAUUAUAUAAAAUAUAAAUAUUGUUAAUUUAUUAUUUAACUGUUGUUGCAUCUGAUAGUUAAUCAGUCAUAAGUAUCCUGCAAAUGCACCAAUUUCUAACUAUAGAACCAGUCGUACAAAUCUCUUAAAACCGCUAGAACUGUAACCAUCCGCAUCAGCAAACUCCUGCGACCGCAACCGCAACCGAUACAUUUAAACAAGUCAGGCCCUAAGACGAUAACGUUUGUGGGCAGCAUCAUUAGCAAAGAGAACUACGUCUAUUAGCAUUAGAAACAAGUGAUGCUCUUCAUCAUCAUCAUCAUCAUAAACUACUUCCAAAGUGUUAUUACACGUAUGUGGUAUGCCGUAUAUAUAUGCAUAUACAGUUCUUUAUAGUAACCUACAUAUAUAUGUAGGUGUAGCCAUCGCAAUAUCUAGGUGUAUUGUAUAUUAGGGUAUAACAACGAACUUAGUAGAGUAGUAUGAAAUUACCUUAAACUUGGUUUAGUUUGGUUGAAACGCGUAAUUAAUAUCUUAGUAUGAAACUAAGAGUAUACACUUUAAGCAAAUAACUAGAUUUUGAUCCGCGCUUUUAAAGCGCGGAUUUAUUUUUUUAUUUUUUAAUUGACAAAUAUUUAGUAAAUGUCGUAUUUUUAUAUAUUUGUCUUUUAUUUUUAUGAAUGCUUAAAUUAUAUUAAGAAAAUAAAAAAAUAAUAAUUAAGAAUAGUUGAAAAAAAAUUAUUUUAACUUGGACUCAAUGGUCCAAAUGAAAAAAAAAAAGUGAGAAUUGAAUCUGAUUUUUUAAUAGGUCCAAAUGGCCCAAGAGAGAUUUGAUUUGGGCUGGAUCCAAAAAUAAUGAUCCAAUAUAGAUUUGUUAUUAAUAUUACUUAAUUGCCCUUAAUGAAACAUGCAAUGUUAGUGAAGAAAACAUACCCCUAAGGUAAUUAUGACAAUAGGAUCCUGCUUUAAUAAUAUAGAUUGAUUUCUCUUGAACCAACUUGCACUCAAUUUGCUCAUUCAACUGCGUAUUGUAUUUGAUUCAAAUAGAUUGCUGUGAUUUUGGUGUUUUACGUGGUUAUCAAAUGUGUUCAUACUCAUAAGCGCAGAAGAUCAGAAAGCAAUAAACAAGACAGAGAAGAUUGAAUCAAAAUAAAGCGAAGCAGUUAAUGACAGCAUUCAGACAGACAAGAACAUGGUCUUCCUUACAAAUCUUAACUCUAUAUGUUUUUCAAACAAAAGACCAUCCGUGCAUCCAAGGCACAACAACACAUAGCUUAGUACGGUCCACCGAAACUGCCAUCCUCUCACAAAAACUGCUUCAAAGCGCCUGUUACAAUUUCCUUUACUCAGAUAAAUCAGUCUAUGAAGUGGUUAAUGCCCAAAAGACCCAUCUAUAAGAACAAUAGUAUAAGUCAUACCUCUCCAGAGAAUAGGAAGCCAUAGAUUGGUGCUCAAAACUGGCGCCUUGGAGGCCUAGCCUCAGCUUCAGACACUCUAAUCUGCCUCCCGUCCAAAUCCUACAACAGGGUACAAAGUAUAAGCACAUCAAGAAUAGUUUCAUUGAUCAAACUGUCGGAAUAAAAAAGAUACUUACAGCACCAUCCAAUGUUCUGAUGGCAUUCUGAACCUCUUGAGCAGAGUUGUAAGUCACAAACCCAAAACCUUUCGACCUACCACUGUCCCUGUCGUAGAUGACUCUAGCCUCAACAACCUUCCCUUGCUCCCCGAACAAACUCUCGAGCGCCAUGUCGUCAACACCCCACGAGAGGUUACCAACAUAAACACGGUUCCCUGAACCAGCACCACCACCACCACCUCCACCAUAUCCUCCACCAGAGCUUCCAAAGCUGCUUCUAGGUCCUCUUGAGAAGGAGUCUUCCCUCUUCGGUGGAGGAGGACCCGCGUUAACUCUCAACGGUCUACCAUCCAACUCCUGCAAACAAAACCCAAUAAGAACAACAAAACAACACAAAGGUUCCAACUUUUUGUCUUUAGCAACCACAAGUUUUUGUCUUUAGCAACACAAAGGUUCCGACAUAAGGUAGAGAAGUAAGUAUGUUCUUACAUAGCCAUUGAACAACACAAAGGUUCCAACUUUUUGUCUUUAAACGCAUACUUACAUAGCCAUUGAACUGCUGUUCAGCUGUCUCAACUUCAGAAGCUGAAGACAUAGUCACAAACCCAAAACCUCUGCUUCUCCCUGUCACCUUGUCAUAGAUAACCUAAACAAAGACAACAAAACGAACAAUCACUAAAACCAAUCUCAAACAACAACAACAACAACAACAAAAAAGAUUCAAUCUUUAUCUCAUUUCUCGAAAACCCAUAACUCAAUUUUGAGUUUUUGACUCGUUACCUCAACCAUCUCGACGUUUCCGGCGCUCUCGAAGAGCUGAGCGAGCUGAGCGCUGUCGACGUUAAAGGGGAGGUUACCGACGAAGAGCUUGAGGUCAGAAGAGAAGGAUUGCUCCCGCCGCGGGGGAGGAGGAGCGUCGUCGUCAGCGAAGAUGCCGUCUUCUUCGACUGAGAAGUCGUCAGUAACCGCGACGUUACGGACGAAGCGAGAGGAAGCGGCGGAGAUGGAGAGGGAGAGGGAGGCGGAGAGGGAGUGGAGAUUGAAGGAGAGGGAAGGAGGUAGGAGGGAAACGGAGGCGGGUCUGGAGAUGGAGAAAGGAAGGGACUUGGGGGUGAAAGUGGAGAGAGCGAGAGAGGAAGCUGAAGCAGCCAUGGUGAAGAGAUGAGAAGAGAUAAGGUUUGUUUUUAGCUUUAGGGGUUUUUGAGAGUGGAGAUAAGAUGGUGUGUUUCUGA
rnacentral:lncRNA from 1 species